rnacentral:lncRNA from 1 species
ACAUACAUACAUACAUACAUACAUACAUACAUACAUACAUACAUACAUACAUACAUACAUACAUAUACACGACUAGAUCUCAGGGAUCACACCCCAAGGAACGUGUUAUCCAGCGCCAGGGGCUAUGUUACAACCCCAGGGAGGGCGAGGGGGUUCACGGCAGCUGCUCCCGGGGGGGGACCAUGCGGACCCAAACCCGUUUGGAGCCGACCCACACACCCCGGCUUCUCGUCUGUCUGUCUGUCUGUCUGUCUGUAAGUAUGACCCUCUUAGCAGGCAUGUCUUAGCUCGUCAUCACAGAUCGCGUACCAGCAAAAACACACACCUCACUCCCUACCUUUUUCUUCUUGUCAAUCUCCGCCAGAAUGGCAUCGAGCCCUGAAGAAGUGGGCGGCGGUGGGGGUGCGGCGGCCCGGGCCGCGGCCUUCUGAGCCUCCUUGCUGUCCUUGUCCACAUGCAUGGUCACCUGCGCAUGCAUCACGGAGAUUGGGGGGAGGGAAGCACAACGGUACUGGCGGGGUUCGUAUCGGCUGAUGCACUAAAAAACACUGUCGAUGGGAAGGUGCGUGUUCUUGUGCUUGAGCUUGUAUGUAUGUAUGUAUGUAUGUAUGUAUGUAUGUAUGUAUGUAUGUAUGUAUGUAUGUAUGUAUGUAUGUAUGUAUGUAUGUAUGUAUGUAUGUAUGUAUGUGCGUAUGUACGUAUGCAUGUGUAUUGUCAUGUGGAAAGGCGGGGGGGAAAGAGAGGACAUAUGCAGGCACGACAGGCCAAGCAUGUCGGGUGGAGGGCCACGUGCGCGUGCCAUGUAGCUCCGGAUAAAAUCUCCUUAUCCCCCAACCGGAUUUCUCCCCCAACCGUUAAGCUACAGUUGCUCCGCCUUCCAUGGUGUGUUCGAUGGCGUUUCCUCCGUACAGCCCCCCCCCCUAGGUUAAUUGCCGUACAGAUCCCUCGCAAAGAGACUGACCGUGUCAAAUCCCCGGGAUUUCCUCUCCUACUCCACAACGCAGAUUGUACUCAUCACUGUGAUGCCCCUGUUCGCGGUGUUCUUUCUUAUCCUCAAACCCGAUGGACUGAGAUGGACGCAGUGCAUGCAUGUGCAGGUGCACGGUAUAACUACUACCGGUAGUAGUUAUACCGGUAGCAUAUUGCCCAUGUGCUCAAAGCCCACAAUCUACGGGUACGCCGGGGCCCCCAACCAACCAACCAACCAACCAACCAACCAACCACUCCCAGCCCAGCCCGCCACAGCCAGUAAGGCCUACCUGUAUAUCUCUGCCGGCAAAUCGCCGUACCUCCGUAACCGCCACCUUGCCCAACCGGGACCCCGCCGUCGUCGUGUCACGUGCCGCCGCCAGCGCCGCCGCCGCCAGCGCGCGCUUCUCCUCCUCUGAAGCCACUGGGCCCGGUGUACCGCCGCGGGACGACAGCGGCGAGGCGCUGCCGCUGGCGGCUGCGGCGGUCAGCGGCUGCGGCUGCGGCGGCGACAGGCCGUUGGAAACCCCCGGCUCGGCGUCCCCCGGCCUGAGGGAGGACGCCACGUCGGCGGGCUUCGUGGGCCUUUUGAGCAGGCCCAGGUUGCGCAUCCAGAUCUGCGCACGUCGGGGCGCGCACAUACGUACAUACGUACGCACGGAAGGGACGACUGUUGUUGUAACGGAAACGGAUUGUCCCACCAACAAGAAUUCUUCUUACUUACACAAGCAAACAAGUAAACGAAACGAAGGAAAGAAAGAGAGAGAGAAAGAAAGGGGCAGAAAUCCAAAUCAUGAUGGUACAAAUCGAUGGCAACGGAAUGAAUAGCAAUACUAAAGGGGUCAGUAUCAGUUCCAUCAAGUUGAGGAACCCGGCUCGACACUUAGUCACGUGAAGCCCCAGACCCUCCCUUCAGCCACGCCACCACCAUACCAGCACCACCACACCCACCGCGUCCUGGUCAGCUCGUUUGGGUUUCUUAGCUCCCAGAUUUGAGCGACACAGCGCUGCCAAGUUCACCGCGGAGGAGGGCGGACGCUGCGUUGCGCUGCCAUUGGCCGCAGCCCGCGCGUUGAUCUGCUGCCACAGAGACGCCACCUUGGCCUGCUUGGCCAGUGCGCUGGGGUCCAAGUUCUGCGGACUGGCCUCCGCCGCCUCGUUGCCGUCGUCAUCAUCAUCGCCGUCAUCACCGCCAUCGUCAGCGUCAUCAUUGCCGGCGGUGGCUGCGAUGGCCGCGCCGCGCCUGCGCGCGUGUGUGGCAUCAAGCCGGUAGCAGGUCGGGUCAAGAGGAGCGACGAGCGCGGGGGAAAGGAGGGGGUCAUGGGGGGGGGGUAGUGGUUAGGGGCUAGAGCUGUGGGACUCGGGAACGUCCACUUUCAUUUAGAAAGAUAGCACACAAGGGCUUGCAAAUUUAUGAUUGUGAAUGUUAUGUGCAUGGGAAGUUGUAAGCCUGUGCGCAGAUUGGGAUCAGCUGAAAGGCGGGUGCUCAGGCUUAAUGCAGGUUAGGAUGUGGGGCGCUCCCCUGGCGAUGACACGGAGACCCCAGCCAGGGAAAACCGCGCAACCCAUGGCUUCCUCUUAACCUUCGUGAGCGCCCCAAAAAUGUGAGGGCACACGGACUGAAGGAUUGCAUCCCAGUUGGUGGUAAAACUUCUAUUACAUUUGUCCGCGCAAACCCAGGGAAUUACUACCUGCGCUUUCUACUUGCGCCGCCGCGACCUGGGCCACCUGUCUGAGGUAAGUCCUCGCGCUCAGCGGUGUUGUCCGCAGCAGGGUUGUAAUCGUCGUCCUCUUCGUCGUCAGAAGGCAGUGCGGUGUUCAGGAAACCCGCCAUCGUAACCCCUUAUGGAAGCUAGCGGAAUUACUCCCUUUGAGGAAUAUACAGCGUCUAUGCAGCACUGUAGACUCCGAAUCGCUAUGGCUCAGCACCUCAGCAUAUGGGCUCAAAGCAACGCCUGAUCAGCAGUGCCCUAACGCAAUCUAAUGUACCGAUUCUUGAAUCCGCAAGUGUUCACGCAUACUGAAAGAAAGGAAGAGGCCCCUCUAGCUGUUUCAGCGUCGCAGCUCCGGAGCCGUACGCAUACGGCAACACCGUUUGACGACCCCCCAUCCAUAGCUGUGCCAAAGCUUCAGACAGGUAAUGAAUUUUCCGAAUGUACUGUUAUGUAUGUUCUCGUCAAAAUUAUUUUGCUUAUGAUAACGUGCUCAAUCUGUAACAUAAGAAACCUUACAUAGCAGGUCAUCUUGAGGAGUGGAACAUAGCUGCCGCUGAACACUUAGUGUGAUAAAGCAGUACCUGUCCAACACAUUUUAUUGGAUAGCAGGCGUGCGGACACAAGUGACCUAGUCAGCAAGCCCUUGUUUCGGCAGACCUCUUCGCAUGCAUUACCUUAUGUAAUGUUUUAUGUAUAUCAACAGUUACAUGGCGAGGCAGCCUGUAAUAUCUAGCUGGUUGCAGCUUCCCCUUAUUUAAAACGCCGACCAGGUUCUAACGAUGGAGUACGCCGAAUAUGACACAGAAGGUAGCAAAUGGUUCCGCCUUUGGGUAAUACCCACCCGCAUUUGACAAUAGCACCUCUCGUGCUCUGCGCCAAUCUAUGCGCAUCUGUGCUAUGACUGCUUCUGUCUUAUUUCGCGCUGAGAGGGAAAACCUGCCUUGGGAUGAGCAUCGUGCAGCUCGUGACGCGCAGGGCCCAGUCUUGCGGGGGCUUGUGUUGUGCCAACACGCGAUACGCUGUUCGGCUCACCACUUUACUCACCACCUGAGCCCAUAGCUUCCGAGUUGGGUCGUCAGCAUGCUCAUGCUCCCCAACUCCAAUUCUCCUUCAUAGCGCCCUCGUUGCCGCCCAUCUGGGUUUCUAUUCAACACAUCUCACACAACAUUUCAGCCCUAUUAAUACACAGCCCCAUGCCGCCGUGUUAUCCCGGGGUUAACCCGGCCCUUCCCCCUCCCCUGACAACACGUGCCCGUCGCCGCCCCUCCCCCUCUCCUCUCUCCAACACUCUCAAACUCGCCGUAUUCCCCAAACCGCAGUCCGCUUCUCCUACCAUCGUUACCCAUCCUCUGACGGCACCGAGGCACCACCAGCGCACCGCCACAACGUCGAUGGCGAGGACACCGAGGAUGAUGAAGGCGACAGCGACCCGGGAAUCAUCGGCACGCUGACUUCGAUCCUCGUGGGGGGUGUCGCCGACCUCCUGACCGAUUUAUCGCCACAUCCUUCACGCGCUACCACCACCGCCGCUAGUGCCAGCACCGCUACUGCCGCGCGCCGAUACGCGAGCACCCAUAGCUCCAAUGACGGCACAUUCAGCAAACCCGUCGCGGCGGACAGCUCCUGGGCCACCGCGCAGGCGCCACCCGCCGCCCACCGCCGCAGCACACGGGCCUGCUCGCUACCGGAACCUAUUGCCGGCGACCACAGCGGCGGCGGCGGCGGCGGCGGUUCGGACCACUUUACGCCGCGGACGGCGGAAGCUCAAUGGCUGAAGUCAAGCCGCAGUCUCGGCCGCGGCGAUGUCGGUGGUGGUGACGACGGGGCCGGCGGCGGUGGCGGUAACUGGGUGUUCCCGCCGCAGCACCGUACGCGGCCCGUGACGGCGCCCACGGGCGCGCCGCCGUCAGGGCGGAGCCGUUCAGGUGUCAGCGGCGAUGCGGCGGUGUCGAAUAGCCUGGUGGGGUCGCCUACAGGCGGCGGCGACGGCGGCGGCUCGACAGGACUGCUUGGCGCGGUAAGCUGUAUAGCAGAACCGAACAACAAUGGGCGGGGUGUGUGCGUAUGUAUGUCUGUAUGUAUGUGUGUAUGCAAUACAAGGAGCUGAGUCGCGAGAAGGAAGUGUGGGCGACGGUGUGGUUAUGGUGUGGCCUUCUCUAAAGUGUGUGUGGUUCGGAGUUCUUUAGAGGUGGCGGUGGCGGCUUUUUCUCUUAACAUGGUUGAGGUUAUGGUGGUGAAGGGCGGGAAGAGGUCAUGGCGUUGGGUGAUUUGGAGCCUUGAUCUGGGUCCUUUGGUGUGAGCAGUGGCGAGUGCUGAGGACUCUGCUAACAAAGUCCGUUUGACUUUGGUCCGCUUUGUCGGGCAGGGCACCUGCAUUGAAUGCAACCCCCCUGCUCCCCCCCCCUUCCGCCUGGGGGUCUAGCCCAGUGCAGUCCUACUACUGAUGUAUACUACUUAUGUGGAAGCAAUAGUAUUGCUCUCUUUCAUUUCCCUGCAUUGAAUCGCCACAUCCCCCUGCACUGAACUUCUGCUGCCUUCUCGUCGUGGACCCGCCAUCGUACGGCGGGCGUCGUACUACGGUGACUUGUUGUACUACGCUGUUCCUUAGAUGUUGACGGGUUUCAGCUCUCUAGGUCAGAAGGCCACUGACCUGCUGACUCAGCUAGAUCACGAUUUUGAAACUAUUUUUAACGGCGUCCUGGAGGGUGACCCCGAAGCCGAAGGGGGCGGAUCUGGGGAGUACGACAGGGAGAGCAGCGCAGGGGUUAACGGAGGGCCCAGGAAGGGCUCCGAAGGUCGGCGGCACAGCUGCAGCAGCGGCGGCGGGGCCGGCGGCGGCAGCGACGCCGCGGACGGGCGCCCGUCCGGCAAGAGCAAUCCAGCAGCAGCCAGGGGCGGGCGUAUCAGCAGUACCGGUACGGCACAGAUGCCGCCGCCGUAUAGCGCGGCGGCAGUGGCUGGCGGCAGGACGGCUGUCGUUACCGGCGCCAUGCCAUCGGCUGCGAAAGCGUCUUCCGCAGCGGCAACUCGCACGACGCCAAUGCCGCCGCCAGUCUCCAGGAGUAGUGGCGGAGGUGCUGCUACCGCCGCCGCCAGCGGCGGCGGCGGCGCCGCCGGCAGGCGCACCGGUAGUGUUGUGAAGGGCCGUAGCCACAAGUUGGACCUCGCGAGAUCGAGUGGCGGCGCCGCCGCCGCUUGGGCGAAGAUGGAAGAUGACGAUGACAGCUGGGGCUGGGGCACCUGUGAUAAAAAGGUCGCGGGGGCUGGCGGCGUGCAAGGGGAGCCAUCUGGGUCGGGGCGUGGGCCAGCGGCGCCGCCGCCGCCGGCGUCAGCGGCGGCGAAUACGAAGACGAAGUCAAUGACGAUCACGAAGACGACAUCAAUGGCGAAUGCGACGGCGAAGGUGACGACGAAGGUGACGGCAAAGCCGCAGCCGCAGGCGGGGGCGGCGACGGCGAAGGCCGCGGCGGGAGGACCACCGCCCGCAUUGCAGCCGUUGACUGGCCCUGGAAUGAGUACGGCAGCGCUGGCACCAUCGCCUGCCAGGACGCGGAGCUGUCGGUCCGUCAGCGUGUCAGUCUCUGCUGCCGCCGCGCUGACGUCACCGCCACCGUCGGCGUCAGCGUCAGCGUCAGAGUCGCGAACCAAUCGCAGCGGCGGCGGCAAGCUGAUCAUUAUUAAGCCCGCUGCCGGGACCGCAACGUCGCGGACGCAACCAGGAACAGGUACAUCAGCCAAAUGUACGACAGCAGCAGCAGCGGCCGUCGCCGUCGCCGCGGCCCGUAGCUCGUCGGUGGUGCCGUCGGCGCCUACGAAGUCCAUUACCAGAGCCGCCGCGGCAGCGUCGCCGCCAGGAUCUCCGGCACGGCAAGCCAUAGUGUCGCCGGCGGGGUCUCCAUCGUCACCAGGCUGUAGAACAGCUGCCGGUGUGACCGUCAGCGACAAGGCGGUGGCUGUUGUGAUGACCAGCAAGGUUCUGCCCUCCCGGGAGCCAUCUUCUCCGGACCGGCGACACCCCCCCAACGACCACAACAAGGGGCCCUUCACUCAUCCCACGCAUGACCCCACGCAACAACAUCAGCGGAUCCACGCCUCGGCCGCCGCCGCGGCCUCCGAGGACUCCUCGGCGACGGCGGCGGCUGCCGCCGUCGCCGCGGCUGUUACCUCGGGCGGCAGCGGCAGUAACCACGACAUGGCGGGGUUUACGUCGGAGGCUAAGGUGGCGGCGGCGGCGGCGGCGGCGGUAACGAAGCAGCAGGCGGAGCUCCGUGAGGAGCUGGAGGAGGAGCGCCGCCGCGCCGAUGCCGCGGAGGCGAGGUGCGCGGAGCUGCAGCAGCAGCUGGACGCGGCGGCGGCGGAGGCGGCUCGUCUGAGCGAGCUGGCGGACGCCCUGGGGGAGCAGCUGGCGAGUAGCGAGAAGCGCGCCGCGGACCUCGCGAAGGUGCGGGAGCCGCGUGUCAUCAAUUGCUGUUUGUGUCGUGAAUUUAUUUGUUGUGAGAAACCGCCCAACAUAACCCCCGCCUAAACCUAACCACGGCUGUCCAUUGGUGGUGGUGCUGAACAAGGAAAUGUUUGUGUCGGUGGUGGUCCUGGUGCUAGUGCUGGAAAUGUCGGUGAUGGUGAUGGUGGUGGUGAUGGUGGUGGUGAUGGUAGUGGUGGUGGUGAUGGUGGUGGUGAUGGUAGUGGUGGUAGGUACGAGGCGUUGGCCGUCCUCGGUGUGUGUCGUGGACACGCCAGGGAAAAGGGAUAAACACACACAUAGUGUACGGGAAGGAUGUGUCGUACUGUAAGCUGUGACUUGUGAGGCUGACGGUGUACCCGCCAUUGCUGCAGGAAAACGGGAGCCUGCGCGCUCCUGCAAGAGCCACCGUCGCUACAGCUGACGCCGCCUGCUCUCCCGUACCAAUUGCUGUCGCCGCCGCCGCCGCCGCUGCCGCCGUACCCGCGGAGGCUUCCAUGACGGCCUGGAGCCCUCACCCUCAUCCGCACCCGGGCCAUCCUCGUUCUCACCACAACUACCCCCACUCGGGGCCUGCUCCAGGGGGGAGCCAUAGCUACAGCCGCAACGGCAGCCGCGCACACAGUAGACAGCCCAGCUGUGGCAGCAUCGCUUGCGACGGCGGCCCUGGCGGCGCCGCCGCUGGUAGCUACGGCCACGGCGGCGGCGGCGGUGGCGUCAGCGAUGAGUUGGUUGAGGCGGCGUUGGUGGCCCAGCUGACGGCGGCGCUGGCGGAGAAGGCUCGCCUGUGUCGAGAAAACGACCUGCUCACUCGGAAAUUGGAGGGACUGCAGGUGCGGAAGGGGUGUGUGUGAGUAUGUAUGUGUAUGUGUGUAUGUCUGUGUGUGUGUCUGUGUGUAUGUCUGUAUGUGUAUGUGUAUGUGUGUGUGUCUGUGUGUGAAAGCGGGAGGACGGCGCGGGUGAGGGAAGACGAUUGGGUUUGGGAGGAGAGGGGGUUGGGGAAGCGCCAAGGGAGUUUGUCCAGUUCCCCGGCCGAUCAUGGCGCUUAGGCGCAGACCUACCUGAUAUCGCGUGACGUCACCUGCUGCGUUGCUGGUGCCCCUGGAGUCCUCAACGGGGAUGGCCGCGCUCACUGCCAUCGCCUGACGCCGCCCAUCUUGUGCUCCAUUCAGGAGCUGCUGUCGUACACUGCACAGCAUGCAACGUAUGCACAUGGGGAUGGUGGCAUUGCCGACGACGAAGGCUACGGUUACGACGGCUUGGACGGCGCUGCGUACGAUACCACGUACUGGCAGUACGAUGAUUUGUCGACGACGCCGCUGACGCGGCCGCCAGAUGCGGCGGCAGCGGCGGCGGCGGCGCCGCCGCCCCCGUCACCGCCCCCGGGGGUUGCUGUCGGCUCCCCUUCUGGUAGCGGCGGGAGGCCUUCGAGCUCGUACGGCGAUCUUCUGUACGACUUUCGCGAUGGCUGCCAGCGCCACGUCGGCGCCAGCGGUCCUAUCUCCUGGGGUACCCCCGAGCCACCAGUGCCAAUUUACAAAACCCGUCAAAGAAGGAGCAACGCCGUGGCUGGCUUCGAAACCCAUUCGGCUCUAAGCGACAGGAGCCCGGCCAGCGGCGGCCGCAUCGGCGUCUUGGAGUUUCCCCCCCCAGAUGGGUCCCCGCUCCUAGGACGCCGUACCGGCGACGGCGACGCAUGCGGCGACGGCCAGUCCACCGAUGCGGUGCGGACGUGCCGCGCCGCCGCCAUGUGCGCUGGCGGCGGCGCUGUUGGCGGCGGUGAGGAGUGGCGGCCGGCGGCAGACCUGCCGGCGAAUGACGGCCAGGAAGGUGCCAGCGAGCAGAUGGAAACAUGUAAAGAGGCUGAGGCUGGGCGCCACACCUGGCAGGAGCGGCGGCCGGUCCGCGCGGGCACGCCUUCGUCCCCUCAGCAACUGCCACAUGGGCAGCAGCAGCAUGGGCAUGGGCAGCAGCAGCAGCAGCAGCAACAGCAGCAGGACGGCCGGGGUCGGGAGGAGAUGGGGGCCCGGCAACCGGAGGAGGAGGAGCGCCAGCAGCAGCUGCAGCUGCUGCUGCUGCUGCCUUCGUCGCCGCCGCCUGAGCCACCGUCACAGCCGUCGCCGUCGUCGCCGCCGCCGCCGCCAGCUCGGACCGGUAGCUAUCCCGACGGGUGGGAGCUGCUCGACGAGGAGGGAGAGGUGGUGGUGGCGCUGCCCCCACCGCCGCCGCCAGCUCUAAAGCGCAGCUGCGGAGGGACACCGGCGGCGGCGCCGCCGCUCCAGCGGCGGCCAUCUGUUGGUACGGCAAGCACAUCCAGUAAGGCGGCGGGCGCUGUCGCCGCUGACGCAGCGGCGGCUGACACUGCUGCCAGGCCGGCGGUGUCAGCCGCCGCCGCCCCCAUGAAGGAGCGGACCAACAUUCCAACUGGGCCUUGAGGGAGCUGGCUGCGCUGUACGCCACACGCGGUGUGGCGUACACGCCGUGUGGCGUGUGCGCCUGCAUGUGCGAUGCGGUGGAUUGCUGCCCCCAAACCCCUGUAUGGCACCGCCGCUGGUACCGCCGCUACCGUUGGCGCGGCCGCUACUGCCGCCGCUACUGUUGAUGCACUCUUCCUGCCCGCGCUAUAUUGAUGAAACUGGCUUUUUCUUGGAUUGUCAGUUUUUCGAGUUUGCUGUUCAGUUUAAUGCAGAUGUUUUUGCGGUUGUGUUGUUUUGUAUCGUUGUGGUGAUGUGUGUGGUGGCGGGCCCAGACGGCUGGCUGGCUGAUGGGUGGCCUACCUCCCGAAGCCGUUUGAGAAAUGCACGUGGGCGAUGCAAAUGGGGGCAACGACUUGCAAAUGUACAGUACUGAGGUUGCCGUACGGUAGUUGAGUGACGUCGUACCCUAAGUCCGUUGGAUAGUUAAAAAGAGUGGAGAGCGAUGUGUAGGACAGAAGUAAAAAGACAGAAGAAUGGAUUGCUUAAAAAGCGAUACGAUGAUUAAAUAAUUUAGUUGGGCUCGGGCACACUAAAUUUCCGCACGGGUAACGAUUUGGAGAAGAAGGGUAGAAGGGAUAAAAGGAGGACAGAGAUAAGAAGGACCCGGAGAUUACAGGAUGUGAAGUGCGAAGGGGAUUAUGGAUGGAUGGCUUGAAGAGGCGCCUCCUCCUCGUUCGCCCCCAGAAGCGGUUUCCCUUCUCGCCCCCACCGCUUCUCUUCUCCUCUUCCUCUUCUCCCGCGUCCCUCCCGUUAUCCAGAUGUAGAUAAUACGACCUGAUGACGACAUGAUGAUGAUGGCUCCCCUCCCCUCCACAACGCAAAGAACAACAGGAGAAGCCAAAGCGCUGUGGGAUGGCACAUGGAAUAUGAACCGUCUCGGGCGCGGUGUGGGUCAGUGGUGUCUGAUGUGGGUCGUUUUUGGUGUUUUGGGGGGCUGAGGGGGUAUUUUUGGGGGAUGGGGGGUUCCCCGGGAAAAGAGGGAAUACCACCAUCGAGUCGGGUUCCGAACUCCAACUCCCUCCAGCCAGCUGUUUGUUCGUCCGUUGGCCGGCCGUUCAGUGACUUCUUUCAGGGGCUAGAGCGACACCGAGCACAUCUCGGCCUGUGGCCUGGCCGCACAUUGGGCAGGCGAAGCGCCGGUGGCAUCCUCGCCGUCAUGUAGUCGUGUUGGUAAUAGUAGUAGUAGUAUUAUAUUGUAGGACGGAGUAGUUUGCGCUCUGAUGCCGCAUUCCUGUUUUUCCUUUUGUGCCAUCACCGCAAAGUCCUCUUUUACUUGGGCAGCAUUUGGAAAACAUAUCGAUGAUUCGCUUCGCUGUGGUUAUAGAAUAGAAGAAUAAAAUAGUGUUAGGUAGCUGCCUAGCUGGGGCGCGCUGCGUAUGCCAAGAUUGCAGUAUAUACGAUUUCCUGUCCGUGUUCUCCGUCAGCCUUUGCGGGGGAUUAAUGUACGUGUGUGUGUGCGUGUCCGUGUGUGUGUGUAUGUGUGUGUGCGUGUGUGUAUGCGUGUAUCUGUGUGUGUGCGUGUGUGUGUUUCUCCUUAUCGGUUGUAGCACUCUGCUUUGAGGUUCUGGUGGAUCAGGUAAAGGCGUCUGGUCCACAGCUGCUAAAGCCGCAGGCGCGACCAUAUCCCGGUGGCCGGCUGAUGUCACCUGUUCGACCCCAACUGCGGCCAACAUGCGUGUACAUCAUCGCCAGCCACAAGAGCACCGUUAAUGCAGCGCCACGCACGCGCAGAUAUGCACAGCGGCGGAAGGCACCGUAUUACUUUGUAUACGGCAUCGGGUACGGCGUGUUCCCGCUGUGUAUGUGCACAGUGUACACAGGAGUUUGGAAGGGGCCGGAAGCGGUGGCCAUGAAACAUUUUCUUGGGGAAUGGCUGCGGGGGAAGGGGAGGGCGGGAGGGAAAGGGGAAGGGAUGCGGUCGACUGGGUGCACUGGGUGUCUCAGGCCGUUGGGGGGACUUCAUUCACAUGCGGCGGCCGCUUUGGUGAUGCCACGGUGUUCACCUGUUAGGUUCUAAGUUGAUUGGAGUGUGGGAGGUGUGUGAUGUUUUGUUGAACUGUCGUCUUUGGGUGCCUUGGCCUGCGCCUUGGCCGGCGUGUACUUCACGGCCUGCUCGAGAAAGCGGGUCGGCGUGUGCCGGUGAGGAUGGAUUUCGUGUUUGGUGUUGCGGUUUCCUCAAAAUCCUUUUCUAUUUUGCUCAUGUUGUGUGGUGUUGUUGCAUUGCUUUUCCUUUUCGUGCCGUGGACCCCGUUCCAGCUCGUGAAUUUGCGGCGUCGGUAUAUGUAUAUAUACAUGAAUGUAUAAAGAGUAUGGAUUCUGGGUGUGUGCGUGCGUGCCUGCUGUGCGCGUGCAUAUAGUAGAAAUAGCACCCACCAAAAGCACCCACCACAUGGCUGGUGUAUUCUUUUUUUUCGUACGGGGUCCACAUUACACACAAUCGCAGACACAUACACGCAUAUGCAUACGCACAUAUGCGUCAAACGCCUCACUUAAACAGCGUAUGACAACAUCCGCGUCCCCUCAUUUUGAGGGGUAUUUAAAAAACAUUUUCGGUGCAUGGAAAAGGAAAGCCCAGAGCCACUCCAUGGCUUCCUGGGCUGCGCAGAGGGGAACAGCAGCAGCAGCACCACCACCACCACCAUGGCAGUGAAGCUACGGCCGGGGGGGGAGAAAGAGGGGGAGAAAGAGGGGGAGAAAGAGGGGGAGAAAGAGGGGGAGAAGGCGCACGCGCGCAGCUAUCGGUUCGCCCGUCCCUCGUCUCUUGACCAUUUUCAUCAUUUUGGUCGCUACCGCGUCAAUACCCCCCGAAAUGGAAGCACGGGGACCCAGCUGGCGUUGCCGUACAUGAAUUAUGAAUGGAAUGAAGGGCAGACGCAAGGUGGUCGUAGUGGACGGUCAUGCGUGGCUCUCGCUCCGGAGCCCAUUUUGACACGUUGGCCGUUGCGAGAGCCGGUUCCAACCCCACUUCACCGUCUUCGCGUGUCAUGGUGCGCCCCUGCUCCUUUUCUUCCCCCUCCUUCUCCUUCUCCACUAUUUCCUGCUGCUCGCGCUGCUAUCUUGACGUGGCUGCAAAAUUCGAGAUUCGAGAGGCAAGCAACAAGAAAUAAUGUGUGUUGUUCUGCAGCGCUGCAGCUUGCAAAAAUUUAUGGCUGGCGUUGGCUGUCGUGAUGGAGACCUCACAGCCCACGGGGUUGGGGGAAAAGGAUCCGUGGUGGGGCUCUUAUGAGUCCACGAAAGAAAGGCGCACUCGGAGUCCCUGGCAGUAAGCACUGUAAGUAGGAAAGGAGGCGAGUAAUGCGCACAGAGAGGCGUGCUCGUUACCUUGUAAUGAGGUUGUAACCUUGUUAAAAGGUACAAGUUCCCGCGCAAGAGGGACGGCCUUCCUAAGAGCAGGUGAGAGGGACCAUGCACAAUCGUUUGUGAGUGAGCAUUUCGGCGCCGAGUGAGGGUUUUACCGACUGGCAAGGAGCGACCCGCGGGUCAUAUGACGGCAAGCCUGGCCUGUCAAAGCCGCUGCGACCUCGGUUGACAGCCUUGGGGUCCGCAGCCUUGCCUCCGGUCCGAGGCCAAGGCAAAACGAUGGACAAGCAGACAGGCAAACACAAGCACUGCGCACUCCAAAGACGCCUAAAGCCUUAAAAGCUAGCUUUCUCUCUUUUUGAACCUUCAAGAUGAGUAAGCUUUGACCUCGGCAGAAAUGUACCCAUGUGGCAUCCACGCUCACUCACUCACUCACACACUCACACUCACUCACUCACAUUGCCUCGCCUCUAGGACUAAGGUCACAGGUCCCCAGGGCUAGCUAGGAAUCGCUCCGCACCUCGACGCUUACACACUUCUACACAUAACAUAGCACAUCCUCCUGCGGGCGGGCGAGACGGGCGGUCCCGGGCCGCAUUAAGUUGAUUAAGUUGAACAUCGCGAGGGAGCUACGUUCCUGGACCCCUCGCUGCUAUGCCGCAAUAAACCGGGGGGUAAUGACCAAGCCGCUGCCAAGCCGCUGCCUACGCGCCAUCUAGGCUAAGUCAGGCGCAGCAGUAGCGACAUCGGCACCGGCACCACCCCCGAUCCGCAAAAGCCCGAUCGGUAAAUCGGUCGGCCUGCCGCGGGCGCGCGCGGUUGCAACAGCACAUCCGGAUCCAAGGUUUGCCGCUGGUUGUAGACCAGCCAGACACCACAGCACAGUCGCAGAGCCUCUCCCCAGCCACCCAGCCACACCACCCACCGUGCCACGAGCACCAUCCAGAAUCCCAUGUCCCCUGCCGGGACCUGCCCACCUUGACAGGCGCAACCUCUCUCUCCCUGCUUAAACAGGAGGGAGGAGGAGGGAGGAGGAGGGAGGAGGAGGGAGAAAGAGGAAAGACGCCGCCACCGGGGCAGACAGAGUAGAGACCUCUUGAGAUUCAAACGUGUAUUUGAGGCGCCGAACGGGCUUCCAAAAUCGAUCCGUGGAAUCCAGGAUCCAUCCAGGAAGUACGGGGCAUCAAACGGAGCAUGAGCAGGCAGUUCUGUGAGAGAAUCCGUGAGUUGUAUGGCAGCGACGAAGCGUCAGACUGCAUCGUCCGUUUCUACCUGUCGCCGUACGAGCCCAUCCUCGGAGGUGACUCAGACGACUGUGAUGACGGCGACGGUGACGGUGGACGUUGCGAUGGAUAUGAGGAGAUGGGUGGUCGGGGCGGCGGUGAUAGCGGCGGCGGCGCCGCUGCUGCUGCAGCGGCGGCCGUGAUUACGGCGGCGCCGCCACUGUUGCCGCCGCCAUCCGCCGUUCGUUUCGUGGGCCAGCCGCUGCCAGCUCACAGUUUGGUGUUGUGGGCCAGCUCAGAGCGAUUUAGGGCUCAGUUGGAUCGCUGGCGGGGCGGCGGCAGCGGAGACGCUGGCGACGGCAGCGACGACGGCGUCGGCUGCUGCUGCUGCUGCGGCGGCGGCGGCGGCGCCAGCAGCUGCAGACAUGUAGCGGCAACGGUGACAAGACCGCGGGCAGGGCCUCAGGAAGUGUGCGACAACCAACAGCACCAAACGAACGGACGGGAGCGGUUUGGUGGGCAACUGUGUGUACGGCAACCACAGGUGUCGCACCAUAAUAGACUUGAGCUCUGCAUUCCGCUCGGAUGUAAGGAGGACCUGUACGGCAAUCUGGCGGCGCUUCAGUACAUGUACACGGGAGAGCUGCGGGGAUGCGGCGGCGGCGGCGGCGCCGCCGCUGCAGCUGGCUUCAGCGUGGCCGAACUUUUGGCUAUCCGGAGUCAAGCGACUUACCUCCAGGUGGGACGUCGUAACAACGCAAGGCCCAUCUGAGCAUCCCGGGUUACGCCUUUGCUGUGUUACAAACGUGCUGACAAUACCUCCCCUUCCAUCCUCCCCCUCCCCCCCGACACCUUUCGCUGGUGUAUUCAAAGUAGCAACGGGUUGUUGCUGGGGAGAACAAACCGCAACGGGUCGCAAUGAGCUCUGAGAACUCCGUUGCGCUGCGUUUCCGCCCCUGCCGCCCAGGUCGAAGGCUGUGCUGAGGCAUGUGACCGGGAGCUGCUCCACCUGUUGACGGAGCUGGCGCCUCCUUCGAGCACCAACGCUGCCAGCGGCUCCCAGGCUCAAGGGGCUGCUCAAAGCUCCGGCGGCGGAAGCAGCGUCAGCAUCAGCGGAGGUGGCAGUGGCGGGACCAGUGGCGGCUGUACAUCCUUUAACGGCCGAGCCGCCGCCGCCGCCAUCGGUGUGAUCUUGGGGGGCCCCGGUGCAGCAGUCAGCGCAAUCGGCGGUGGUAGGGAUAAUGUACGGGCGUACGGCCGCAGCGGCGGCGGUAAUGGGGGAGUCGACAGCGUUGAAGCUUCGGCCGCUGCCGCCGCUGCAGCUAUCCGGGAAGGCGUCGUACCUGUGCUGCAAUUCGCGGAGCGUUGCCCUGCCGCCGCCGCCGCCGCCAGCUUUGUGCAGGUCGUCGAUGCCUGCCGCCGGCACCUCGUGUCGCACUUCUCCGAAGUGAUAACCAUACUCAACUCGCCGUCUCUGCGACGCCAGCUUGCGGCGCUACCCUCGUGUGCGCUGGAGCUGUUGCUUGGUUGUAGCAGCCUUCGGGCCGAUAGCGAGGCGAGUGUGCUACAGCUCCUGGCGGUAUGGCUGGCCGCAAAUCCCUCGACUCCGCCGUCACGUUGUACGGCACUAUGCCGUCGAAUUCGCGCAGCGCACUUGGGUCGGACGUACCUGGCGUUUGUGCUUCCGUGCGUCGACUGGUGGCCCAUGGGACAUAGGCAGCAGUUGCGCACACUGCACCUCGCCUCCGCCACGGCGGCGGAACGCCGUGCACUGUCGGAGCUGGCGGCUGCGGCGGUUGCGUCCGCGGCGGUGGCGGCGAUAGCGGUAGCGGCACCAGUGGACGAUUGCCAUUAUGAGGCGGCGGCGGAAGUGGACAAGACGAAGGGGGACGACGGCGGCGGCGACGCCGACGCUUGGAGCUGCGCGUCGCCGCGCGACCCCAGCAACACCGUUCACAUGUUCCGAUGGAAUCUUCCGCGUAAGGCCCUCAUAGAUGCCAUUUGCAGCGGCGGCGACGCCGCCGUAACGUUUGACGGCGGUAUGGAGGCCGUGUCAUUUGGUGGUUUUGAGUGGAGCGUGUUUGUAAAGCCGCCGAGGAGCGACGGCUGCAGCGGCGGUGACGGGGAUGAUGGCAGUGGAGAGGGCAGCAGUGGUGGCAGCAUCUUAGCCGCCGCCGCUGCCGCCACUGGCGCUGGCGGCAGACGCGCGUGUACCGCAGCCGCCGGAGUGUAUCUAAUCUGCAGCGUGCCGGCGGAAGUUGAGAAUGGUUAUCAGUGCGCGGAGGCCCCGGGCUCAGGGGGCUUCAGCGCAAAAGCCGCUCCCGCCGACGGCGGCGGCGGCGGCAUUGUCGGUGGUGGCGGCUUGGCAGGUGCCCAGGUUCGACGCCUUACCCGGAAGCGGAUCUCUGGCAUCACGUCCGUUCCGUCCGCGUGCAUCGAGGUCUUUCGCGGACGGUCUCUCCCGGCGCAACACGCGGCACAAAUGGCGCCGCCGCAGUGGCGGCGGCGGCCCGUAACGGCGCUGGCGGCCGCCUACAGAGGCGGAGGCUCCACCGCCGCCGCCACAGCUGCCGCCGCCCGCAGCGCGAUCUGGGGUUCCUUGCUGGCGGAGCUGUCAGACCCAGACUCACCGAGGGCAGCGGCAGCAACGCUGCCGCCGCCGCCGCUGCGCCUUCAUCCCGUGAACGGCAACGGCGGCGGCGGCCCGGAGGUGGCGGCUGUGGUCAAGUUUGGACCAAACGAGGUGUUCAAAUUUGGACCGAGUGCUCCGGGCCGGGGCAUCUGCGACGUGUUGGCACUGCGCAGUCGGGAACGCGAUGCCGGGCAUGCCACCGAACUGUCACGGAGUGUUCGCGGCGGCGGCGGCGGCGGCGGUAAUGCUGCUGAUGGCGGUGGCAGUGUAUCCGGUUGGGGCAGUGGUGGCGGCGGCGGCCGCGGCUGCGGCGGCGGCACCACCACCCUCCGAUCGACGACGGCAUCGGCAUCGGCAGCCGACCUCGAGGACCUCCGAAACCACCAGCUGGCGGCGUGGCUGCCGUAUCUGCAUCCCCUGGAGGCCUUUGACGACGGCACGGCAGGAGGCGGCCUGGCGGGAACGCUGACACUGCGGUCGCGCUGAGUCCAUAUUCACCAGUACCGACUCGCUUAGAUCCAGUGUGGGUGCCGCUGUUUUUGUCUCUGUCUGUCUGUUUGUCUGGGAGAUUGAUGGCAAGCGUGGUGGUGUUUGGAUGCUAACUGCUCGGCUGGAGGCUGGUGAGGUGGGAGACGGUGUUGGCGAGGAAAAGGGGGGAGAGCGGGACGCAGGGGUGUAACUGGAAGUCCAUCUGCACUGCCGUACACCUACGAGAAGGUUGCAACUUUGAGUCUGCCGGUGUGCCGCGGAUAAGCGCGACGGGAUCACUACUGGUAUGGCAUGGUAUUAAGGGGGGGAAAAGAGGGGAUUUAAACGACUGUGUACGGAGAGGACAUUGAGUGUAGGGGUGAGUAGGACGAGCAAGAUCCAGGUUAUCUCCCCAGCCAGGCUAAUGAAUCCAGGUUUGGAAUACUGUACGGUGGAUCGUACGGGGUUGAUUUCAAAGGAAGGGAUGGCUGGCACAUCUCGACACUCGUCACUCGACAUGUACGGCGGUUCGGAGAGAUUGGAAGACACGUGUUGCCCUCGUGCGAUGCACGAGGCCCGGUUUGACGCGUGCUGAAAUGUGUUAAGUUGAUUGUUAGUUAAUUAAUACCCCUUUCCAUGUGUCGGUGUGAACAUGCACGUAUGUGUGUGGGCACACAUACACAUAUGGUCUCAUGUGUAUGGGCUAACACUCAACUUUGGACCAUAUGUGCCUGUGUGUGUGUGUGUGUGUGUGUCAAGCCAAAGUCAACACUACCAGGAGCUUCGUUUUGGUGUCGACACCAGGCGAUUGGGUGUUCGGAAGGCCGUUCAGAAGCCGUUUGCCGUUAGACGGUGUAGUCCGCCCUGCCAUCAUGGCGCGGUGCGGUGUGGUGUGUGGGGGGGGGGUCCGUAGGUUUGGUGUUUGGGUUUUGAAGCCAACAGGGGGCGAUACGGGGGGGGGGAAAUGUUGUGCGUCACCAGACAUAGGAGUGGUGGACGUAUCCUGACGGCGGCGGCGCCCAACAGUCCAGUACAAACCAAGGAACCAAGGACUGGCCAACUGCUGCGCUGUUAUGUAUAGACACAGAAUGAGUACGUGUGAAUGUACGGAACCCUAAGUUAAUGAAUGACUGAAUGAUCGUGACACAGAGCGGAUGGUUUCUGGGCCAUUUUGCAAGUGAAUAUUUAUUGGUCUGAAUACCACCAUCACCACAGAGCAUCAUAUACCAAUCACCGCAAGGAACGGCACCAUACGAAAGGAAAAAGGAAAAAAGAUCCAAAACGGUUUCGGAUCCUGUCUUCUAGGAUCCAUCCUCAUCCAGUCACCCGAACAUCCGCCAGAGAGACAGAGGGUUCAGCAAAAGCCACCAACUCAGCGUGGCGGUUCAGCUUCCGUUUACUAACAAGGCAUGAUGCGAGCAUAUCGAUCUUUGAGGGCUCCCCUCUCCUCUCCUCUCCUCCCACCGUUCCCCCGACGACGAUGAGACGUCCUAAACUAAACGAGCAACCCUAAGUUUACUGCGUGCUUUACUAAUUAUUACAGUUUGCAUUUUUAGCCUGCAAUAAGUACCCUACUGCAAUAGUCCACGGAGAACCAGGCACAGGAAAUCCGAAUACAUGGUGUCCUGAGAAAAGGUCACUUCAAGAAAUGUAACACAGAAAGAGAGGAACUGCGUCCAAGAGGGCCAGUUAUGGCGAUAAAAAAAUAAAUUGCGCAUCGAUCGGGGACAGAAUUAAUUGCCUUGUACAUUCCAUGAUACCCUUUUCUCAGCAGCACCGCACGUCACAACUGUGGCCCCUUUUCUCUGUUUACAGAUGUGAAAAGGGUGUAUUUACCCUUCUAGCAGCGACCCCGCCUUAGCAGCGCAGGCGCAGGAGCCAACAACAGUGCUGGAAACACACCACCACACUGCUACAUGAGCUCCUCAUCCCUCUCUAUCCUCGCUGCGCAGUUUCAAGUAAAUGGAAUAUAUUAAAAACCAACCUUGCUUUGGAGGCCUCUUGUCGGCAUGGGCUUUCUAUAUCAACGCAUAAAAACCACAAGUAUACACACACAUACACAUACACACAUACACACACAUACACACACACAGACAGACACAGGAAUCUAUUUACACAAUAUUUGCCUUGUACGGGAGUACGGCUUCCCACAAAGCCAGGCGGGCUUUUCACCUAUAUAUAUGUGUGUGUGUUUAUUGAGCUGUAUGCGUGUGUGUGUGUGUUUGUGUGGAGCUGUAUGUAUGUGUGUGUGUAUGUGUGUUUGGAGGGCGCGGAAUGGAUCCGACAAUCCGACAAGGCGGGGGGGGCCCGGGCCCUCUUGCAUGGCCUCAGGUCAGCCGCCACCAGCGCCGCCUUAGCACAUCGCCCUUGAGCCCGUCCCGAGUACGAACCAUCUGCAAACCAGUAACAGCAAAAAAACAAUGAUAGCAGUGGUGGCAACUUCAGUGGCAGCAGUAGCAGCAGUAGCAGUGAUGACAGUAGGCGCGGCAGUAGUAACAGAAGUAGCAGUAGCAAUAACAGUAACAUUCUCGCAACAGCAGUCGCCGUGUUUAAUAAGAGUGUGUAUUGGUAAGAGUAGCGUGGCUGUAGCAAACUGACCUCCGACUCUGUGAAAAGCGUUUCACUGCCGUACAUUCCGUACAUUACGUUCCGUACAUUACAAGAGGCCGCUCACCUGUUUCGUAUUUCCAUUGUGCUCAUUCAUCCCGAAUUCUCCAGAUCCCUCACUGCCGUACAAAUUGGCCAGGUAAUUCUUGUCCUCGCCCUCGGCUACAACCACUCCGGCAAUCUGGCAGGAAGGAAUGGGUCGGUUAGAGGUAAAAGAGGAGGUGCCACAUCCAACAAUGAGGUUCAAAAUUUAGUUCGUGGGGAAGGAAGGGAAAUGGGGAUACCGCAGAAAACACCCUCACCGCCCUCAUCCUCUUCCCGGUGUAACAAACCCCCCCCAAAUCAGACGCCCCUACCCACGACACCGCCCCCACCCCUCAGCCAGGAACUGCCAUUCACCUUGAACUUGUGCUCCCCGCUGCUGGUCUCCGGGAGUAACUGUGGGGGAAAGGCGUGUGUGUAUGGACGGGGGAGGAGGGGGGAGGUGGGGCGGGGGGAACGGACUCAAGGGCGGGAAGGGGAGGGGGGCCCGGGGGAGUCAUGGGGAGGGCAUCCCCAUCCACCAGGCCAUCAUCAUCAUCAUCAUCAGUAGCAUCAGCAUCAUCAGCAGCAGCAGCAACAGCAGGAGGCACAGCAGCAGGAGGAGUGACAGCACAGCGAUUUCUCCCCUCCCCGACCCCCUUCCCCGUCUACCUGCACCUCCGCCCCACGCAAGGCCCCCCCCUCACCUCCACCUCCACGUCGCAGUGUUCUGACUGACUGACAUCCAGACGAAACACGUACAGCUGGGAGACCGGCCGGGAGAUGUGGGCGUCCUCCCUGUGCGGGUCGCACCGGCAGCCCGAAACACAUCUGGGCACGCGUGUGUUGGGGGGGGGUGGGGCCCGGUGCCGGGGGAACGAACCGGGGGUGAGGGGAGGUGUAAGCAAGGAUGCAAUGUACGAACCAGCCGUACAUUUUAGGCGGCUAUAACAGUAGGCAGGUUGCAACAGCAAGCAGCGCCUAUUAACCCNNNNNNNNNNNNNNNNNNNNNNNNNNNNNNNNNNNNNNNNNNNNNNNNNNNNNNNNNNNNNNNNNNNNNNNNNNNNNNNNNNNNNNNNNNNNNNNNNNNNNNNNNNNNNNNNNNNNNNNNNNNNNNNNNNNNNNNNNNNNNNNNNNNNNNNNNNNNNNNNNNNNNNNNNNNNNNNNNNNNNNNNNNNNNNNNNNNNNNNNNNNNNNNNNNNNNNNNNNNNNNNNNNNNNNNNNNNNNNNNNNNNNNNNNNNNNNNNNNNNNNNNNNNNNNNNNNNNNNNNNNNNNNNNNNNNNNNNNNNNNNNNNNNNNNNNNNNNNNNNNNNNNNNNNNNNNNGGAGAGGGGGGAAGCCGCACACAUAAGAAUAUGAAACAAUGUGAAAAAAGAAAAAAAGGACGACGGCGGGUGUGGCCGGUGCGGGUGUUUGGAUACGUUGGGACAUAAAGGCUGCCAUCAUCAUCAUCAUCAUCAGCAGCAGCAGCAGCAGCAGCAGCAGCAAGGGCAGUGGCAGCACAAAAGUGGAAGCAAAGGUUGCUCCGCGGCUGUGGCUGCGGCUGCGACUGCGCUGACAGAGGAGGAGGAGGAGGAGGGAGAGGAGGACCCUGUUCCCAGCUGAUCAAUCAAAUCCACAACACGUGGGGCACCUACUUGAAAUCCUCGUACAUGAUGCACAUGGGCACCUCGGGGACCUUGUUGCCUGUUUUGGAUCGCGACAAGUUUAAAUAAUAAUUUAAAGCUUGAAGUAGCGGUCAGGGGUCGGCGCCGAAGGUGGAAUGGAGGGACACACAGCUCGCGUGGGAAGCAGAGCACGACGGCGGUGGGCGGUGGGCGGAGGAUUGGGGUUGGGGUUGGGGUUGGGGGAAGGAGGAGGAUGGGGCCGCUGUUACUCUUACUGUGUAGCUCGCAAAACCCUACCAGCACCACCUCACCCACCCCGUCACACUGAUUUUAAUAUCACCUUCCUGCUGCUACUGCUACUGCUGCCCCCCCCUUGGUGCUACUGCCGCAGGCGCUCUGGUUUUCGUCUUCAGCCUUUGGUGGAACAGUAUACAAUAACAAUAUAGAGAGUCAUUUACACCCCCUAAGCCCGAGUAAGUUAACCUGUAGGUUUUACGGUUUUACGGUUUUACGGUUUUAGGGGUUUUGGGUUUUAUACCUGUGUGUGUGGAUGCCUAUUGGAGAGGCGGGCUGUGCCAGGAAGGAGGGAUGAUAGAACGAGUGAGGGGGCCCCCCUGACUAAGGGGCUUUACACCCCCCUCCCCUCCCUGGAGCACCCCCUGGUGCGGUCUCACACUCUUCGACUUUCUUAGCCUCUUGCAUUAUUGCAUGUAAAAAGGAAUGAAUUCAUCCAUGUGGACUGAGAAAAACCCUAAAACCCUCCCUCCCUUCUGCCCACAUCUCCCCCUAUCACCUCAUCUACCCAACCACCCGCAACCACCUCCAACCACCCACCGGGGUACAUCGGCUCCGGAAGGGGCUCCAGAACCGCCUCCUCGUCCUCUCGACCAAACGGCCGUAACAGCAACCCAAUGGCGGUCUGCGGUUAAUAACAACCAACCAACCCAACCAACCAUUUAACCGAUCAACUGUCCCAGCAGCAGAAAAGCGGUAUCAAAAAACCCCAAGUGCAGGUUGUGCGAGCGCCCCCACCCGGCCAUAUGACGGUAUUAGAGGCCUUUGGAGGCGGAUGGGAGGGAACAUCAACACACACACACACACACACACACACACACACCACGCUGGCCCAUGCUUCCAUCCCUCACCCUCGCCCUCGCCCUCGUGACCCACAUCCCCGGGGCACCCAAACCACCACCCCGCACUACACACACAUACACACACGCACACACGCACAAACACAGCCUUGGAAUCCCCCUUGGUUCGUAAAGGCGGGACCGCUAAUUGCUCGUACAAGCAGCGGAUGUAACACACACGCAGGCACACACACGCACACACAUACACGGCACUCGGCCCCUCUUCCCCAACCCCCUUGCCUGCUGUACGAGGUGUACGGCCAAAUCGGACAUGACACGAUGGCCCUGGUCGCCUGGAUGGAUGUCUGGAAGUUGGGAAAACGGUUGGGGAAGCGGUUGGGAUUGCAAACUUGCGGUUACGAUUUGCCGGGUGGGGUUGCGGGUUGCGGUUGGAUGGGUGGUGCCUUGGAUGCGACGAAGGUCCGGACGUUACAUUCGUUGUAUGGCCAACUGCCAACUACCAGAUAGUCGCGAAGAAACUCAAAGUACGAGCUUUUUCUUGAAAAGUCGUACAGGAGUACGAAUGUGCCUCCCGAUAUCCCCCACCCCCAGUUGGGCCCCCCCUGGAGGGGCACUCACCAAAAAAUGUCUGAUCCCACCUAAAGCCAUCAGUCUCCUUAAAUGCGGCAAGGCGAUACAGUGCCGUACGCACAGACAGCAUCUGCACAUCGUAGUACUGCGCGAUGGCGCCUGUACGGCAUUGGUCACAACGGGAGUUUGGCCAACCCCUCAGAUUGCGUUCCUCUUCACUUCUUCGUUCCCCACCAUGUCAUGCUGCACUGUUACUUGGCGGUAAAAUCGAUAACAAGAAGCUAGUUGCAACGAGAAGUUAGUUACAACGAUAAGUUAGUUGUAACGAUAAGUUAGUAGCAACGAUAAGUUAGUUGUAACGAUAAGAAGCAACGCUCAUUGCACUUCAAAGAACUAAAGACCUGAGCUCCAGUGACAGUGGCUCAGAGCAGUCAAGGCACACGGCAAGAGGACGAGCACACGGCAGCUGCGGGCGGGCGGGGGGGUCCGGGUAACCCGCGGCGGGCAAGGGGGGGGGGCGUCGGUCGAUACACACGGCCAGCACGCGGUCACACUCACCAUCCACGUCUUCUAGGGUUUCAUAGAAGCGUCUGUCCGCGACAGCGAGGUAGGUUGCGUGUGUAGGUAAGUAGGUAUGUAGGUAUGUGCGCGCGAGAGGGAAAGGGCCGGGCGUCAGACAAGAAAUGUACGCCUGUAUUCUGUCUGUCUGUAUGCAUGUAUAUACAUGCAUGUAUAUACGUAUGUAUAUAUUUACGUUUAACACUAUUACCCGCUCCAGGAAGAGGUGAAUAGGGGAAACAAUCCACAACAGAAAGUACGACAGUUUCGAGAAAAGGUCUUAAGCCGUACACAUUCCAGCCCUUCCACCCAGGCAUACACCAAAGCACAACCUGGCACCGGCAAACCCCCCCCCGGGGGGGAAGAAAAGGCACCCAAUCCUCAACACCCGCAACCCUGUUACCACCACACACACACACACACACACUCACACCACACACACUCACUCACUCUCAUUCAUUCAUUCACCCCCCCCGCCCCCCAAAUCCAAACCUCCUCCUCCCCUCCGAAACCCACUUGUAUAUAUCCCCCGGGUGCCGCGGGUGGCCUGGCGGGUAUGACGCCAUGCCGUGUGUCGGCGAGUGCAUGAGAACCACCGCAGGCCGCCGCGGCAGUGCUAAGAGCCGCCGUACAAGUCGCUCCAUGUCCUGUGCUCCGGAAGGGAUAGGGGCAAAGGGGGGGUGGGUGGGAAACGGGGGCGAGAUGGGGAGGAUGGGGGCCGGGGGGCCGGGAAGUGUUAGAAGUGUCUAUGUGGGUGUGUUGGCUUCCUUCCAACACCGACCGCGCAAGGGGCGAGCUGUCUGGGGCUGUGAGUGCCGCUUUGGCAGGCGGGGGGAGCGAAAGAGCAACCACCUCCCAACCACCUCCCAACCACCUGCCGACAACCUGUCGACAACCCCACCACGCCACCAGCCACAACAACCAAGCACGCACACACACACACAUACACACACACACAUACACACACACAUACACACACAAACACACACACAGAGACACACUCCUCCAACGGCCCUCCCGACCCCACUAAACCCACCCGAACUCGAUCGUUCUCAACGGAGGCAAUGUACCCAUCAUUGAGGGUGAACUCUAUGAACACCAGCUCGACGUCCUUGUGGUCCACGGACUGCUCCAGACACAGACUGACAUGCAGGACGACAGACACCGGCCGGCGGAAGUGGGGUUGGGGAGCGAACAAAACCCAAAUCACGUGCCAAUUUACAAUUUACAAAUCCGGCUGCGGGAGAUAUACAUACUGAAAUACAGCAGAGGCAUCAUCACACCUAAGAGGCCAGGAAGGCUGUAGAUACGCGGACAGACGCAGAAUACCAACCGGCUGGAGUGGAGGGGUAUAUGCGGGAGAUGGGAGGUACGAGGGGAAAUCAUAUGCAAGGAAACAAAUCAUAAACAAGGAAUGAAAUGAAUGAUCUGGCGGCGUGCUAAGUCCAAAACUGGUGCGGGGGACGCGGGGGGUAGGGAGGGACUCUGGGGGGGGGGCUGCUCAGCGAGCCCACAGGCCCAGCAAAGACAUAAACCCCACUCACUUGCGACAGACAUACACGUGUACACACACGUGCACGUAUAAACAUACAUACACACUUACAUCAUGUAUGCACUAGGCACUCCUGGCACGCAGCCGUUACGUGCGGUGAUGUUGGCUCGGGGGAAGGCCUCGAUCUGCGGCCAAGAGGGUUGGAGGUUGGGGGUUGGGGGUUGGGGGUUGGGGGUUGGGCGCUACUGAGGUGGGGGGUUGUAACCCCCACCCCGGGGUGGGGGUUAGGGGGACGUGGUGCGGUGCAGCGCGGUGUGCGGCGUGCGGUACUAUUGAGAUGGUGAGGGGGUGGCAUGGGUGAGGGGGUGGUGAUGCAGUGGUGGUUUGCGUUCUCAUUGCGUCGAGGGGCAAUGGGGGAUGUGGAUGCGCGGAAGGCAGCGAGUGCGCAGCGGGUCGAAUGGCAGCCUAGCCCUGGCAAUAGCCCUAGCCCUAGUGCAGCUGGCGGUGGCGGCGGCGGUCGUGCGGUGCGUGGGGGUGCUCUCUGCCUUAUAACCCCCUCCUUUCCCCCAUUGCAAGGUCACGGGUGAUCAGGGGCGCACACACACACACACACGCACACACGCAGCAGCCCCUGGCCAGUGUCAGGCCCGGAUCAAUAUGUAACAAAUACACAAACACACAAAUACACGCACACACGCACCCCGAACCCGAGGUGGUGGUGGUGGUGGUGGUGGUACGUACCAUCCACUUGGAGAAGUGGCUGAACCAGUCAGUUUCCCCGCGCCUGCUGACCCCCUGACCCCAGCUUAUACUACACGGUAGGAGGGGAGGGGGGUGGGGGAAAGAGGUAAGGAGCACGCGGGGGAUAGGAGAUGGUGCACAAUCGUAGGUAGCCUUUGGGGGUUGACAGUUCACAGGUAGCCUUUGGGGGUUGACAGUUCACAGGUAGCCUUUGGGGGUUGACAGUUCACAAGUUAGAUGUCGGUGAAAGGUGGGGUACCGAGAAGGGCUCCUUCCCCUUAAUGAAAACGAGUUACUGAGCGCUUGGCGAAGCCCUGGCAUUCAGGUGUGGUGGGGUGGUUCGGGGUGACGGGGGUGGUGUGGGCGCGGGAGGGAGGGGGGAGGGCGCAGUGGUCAUCUCGUGAAGCAAGCAAACGCGCAAUCUACUACUUGCCUGCCGCCGACGAUGCCGACGUGCACAUCGUGGCCGGCAACCAAUCGGCCAAUGACGUGCCGCAAACGUGAAGAAGCACCGCGAUAGGUUAUUCCUCUUUCAAGCUGGGUUACCGGCAGUAUGAACUGAUACGACUUGAACAUUGACGAGAAUAUACUCGUCAAGGGCUGCGACCCGAUCGACACGCUUGAGUACGUGUGUCCCCAGUCCCACUGCAAAUCCGUGCGUAUAGCAGUUCGCUCUAAACUGUUUUCCCAUAAAGCCAGCACCUGGCAGGACUGCGCGAUCAAAAUAAACACCGUAGUAACUGGAAAAAGCUGCAGCAACUUCCCGAGCAUUUUAGUUUGGGAGCUAAUAUGUCAUAACUAUUCCACGCAUAACUAUCUUAACCAGAGAUAAAACGCGAGAGCCUUUCCAAUUUGCGACACGGGUUAAAGCUAUGCGACAAAGUAGGAAAAUCCUUUUGGUCGCCUGGAUUAGCAAGUUACACCAGUUUUAAGUUUUUGUUGUCAAGGAAAAGAAUUGAUAAAAUGCCGUCAAGUUACACCUUUCCAACAAAGUACUCAAUCUUUCAACAAGUUCAAGUGCAUUAGCUCCACCAGCUCCAUUCCAUGUUGUACGAAAUCCAUACAUCGCUGGCCGGGGCGUAGCACAUUUCUAAUGUCUACGGCAGUCUACGGGACGAGCAACGGCAUCGGAAGUAGUUUCCGCCGUUACUGCGCCUAUAGAAAUGGGCCUAUUAGAUCAAUUUCUGUAUACUUAGCGCUAUCUGACGCGUGGUGGAAUAACGCUUCUGGCAGGUUUCAUUAUAAAUAUGAAAUUAAGGAAUUAUUCCUAAUUUCGAGCCACCACCCCUGCAACGCGAUGCCCAAGAAGCAAAUACUACGAUGCAGAUGAAAGUUACGUAGAGGACCACAUAGAUCGUUGCUGAUGGGUGGGCGCUAACGUUGCUCGCAUCUUUUACAAGUGCGCAGCCCCGAGAAGUCCAAUCCCCCAGCAAAGUGCCCAAACAUUUAACCUCAUGUUGUGUCAAAAACAGGAAUUGCGAAAGCUCCCUUAUCUUGUUAAGCAACUACACGGCUCUGCUUAGACGGUAUCUUCUGCUUCAGUUGCUAGAGCAGAACUAGGCUUCCGUCACCCUGCAACUAUGAAGGCAAUAUGAUUGGGCUCAUCACCAUCAUACGAACUCCUUUGUUAGCAUGGGAUCCACGCCGUACUGUUUCUUCAAGUGACAAACUGCCUGUAAUCGUCAAAGCUCCUUAUCGCAAUGUUGCCAUACAUUAAGAGGAUUAUCACUACCUGGCCAGAGGUGAACAAUGGCUUCACUUUCCGUGAUUUUAUUAAGUCCAAGCACGCUGGCCUGGCGCUGCUGCAGUUUUACAUCACGUUACAUCCAGCCUCAGGGAACUGCGAAGAGUAAGCUUAAAACUGCAAAUCCUUCAAACUCUGCGCGAGAACCUCGUUUCUUUUUGCUGGGUUCCCGGCGCCGUUCUGCCGUACCUCUAGCACAACGUCCUGCAACCUUUCCUUAUGGCGGGGCCCUGCAGAUGGACCUCAAGAAUCGUCGGGGGCCAGGUUGCCAUUAACGGGUCAACUGUGUUAGAACCUGACCACGUCCUCAGGUCGGUUUGGCAGCAGCAGUGACGCAAGCUGCACCUGGCUGCACAUCCCAUAUGGCCAGCAUGCAUUGGAAGCAACCGCGUCUUAUUCGUCCGCAACGCCACAAGCAGAGCCUCCGGUUGCACGUUUGGCGCCAUCAAGCUAUCUAUCUAGAUCUAUUGCCAGGCAGGCCAUUUUUCAAAAUACAAAAUUCAAACACAAACACGAAGAGAUCAGCGAAAGCGUCCUGUUGGGGCCCCAAUUCUGUUCGCCGGAAGAACCAUCGUUGCGAAACUGAGCCUGUAAUGGCCCGCAUGUGUGUCCUUCACCAUUUUCGGCUGCAACCGCACCCGCACCCGCUACCCGACCAAGGAUCAAGAGACCGAGACUGGCCCAAACUACCAAUACAAACAUCUCUGCUCUUUUCAUAGUUGCAUUCUGUGGCUUGGAUCGUCUCGCAGGGUUGGCGAUGUUGUGUCGUACACACGGCGGCCAUGGCGGGAGCCGCCGAGUCCGAGCUACGUGGACGUGCUGUACGAGGAUGACGACGUCGUGCGUACGAUUGUUAACUGCGAUUGUUAACCAAAGUCGUAAUCACCAAAAGUUGAUUUUGUUUGCGGGCCGCAUCUGAUUUUUACCUUUCUCUCCCCCUCAAACAUGGACACGCACACACGUACACACACACACACACACGUACACCCCUCAACACACUCGUUCGUGCAUCCCUCAGGUCGCGCUCUGCAAGCCCGCUGGUCUGCAAGUGCUGCCCGCAGCCAUGUUGCACCAACGCACCGUCCUGACCCUGCUACAGCACCACUACGGCAACCCACCGGUCGCAAACAAAGACGUAAACGCACCGGCUGCAACUCUAGCUGUAGCUGUAGCAGCAGCACCACCGCCAGCAGCCCCGGGCGGCAACAACUCCCCUGAGACUGAUGAGCCGCCGGCUCCGGCUGAAACCACCGCGGACCAUUCCCAGCAUAGACAUAGAGAAGCCCCGCCGCCUUCCCCCUUGCACCAGCAAUCCAAACAUGCUCGACAGGGACAGCGACAGGGACAGCAGCGGCCUGUGCCGGGGAUGCCCGAGGGAACGCGGGCCUGUGUGGCUGUGGCUCCCGUGCACCGACUGGGUCGAGGCACCUCCGGUACGUGUGGCUGGCUGGAUGUGGGGGGAAGGAGUAGUGGGUGAGUGGCGAUUGCAGAGGAGAGGCCUUGGGUCUUGGGCGCGGGGCUGGGACCAUCGUGGAGUGUUUUUUUGCCUCUUCACGCCGCGCCGCCGCUGUGCGCACUUACGACAGUCCACUCCACUCCACUCCUCUCCACACCGCGCCACAUCUGCCCUGUCCGCAGCGCGUCUCCCCGUUGUGUGAUGUCAUCUUCUGUGAUGUCCGGGUGUGCGCGCACAGUGUGCGGAGUGGCUUGCGUGCUGAGCAUGCAUCACACAACGGGGAGACGUGCUGCGGACAGGGCAGAUGUGGAGCGGUGUGGAGUGGAGUGGAGUGGAGUGGAGUGGCUUGCGUGCUAAAGACAUCACACACAUCAAGCCACUCCGCACCCUGUGCGCGCACUCUCGGGCACGACGGGGUCUCUAAAUGCGUUCGUUCGUUCGUGCGCGUCUGUCUGUAAGUCUGUACGUAUGUAUGUAUGUGUGUUUCUGCGGUCCCUUACCACCAACACGUGGCACCUCGCUUGUUUGUCUGUCAUCGCAACACACAGGUCUGCUGUUGUGUGCACGCACCACACACGCCAGGCAGCGGCUAACCGAACUAAUGAGCGGCAAAACCGCCGCCGCCGCUGCAGCAGCAGCAGCGGCAACGGCGGGCACUGAAGCAAGGGGGUUGGUGGCGGCAGCACAACUCGGGGGCGAGGACGGCGGCAGAGCCUCGUCAUUAGGCUCUGAAACCACCGUGCCGCGGCCUCCCCCGCCGCCGCCGCCGCCACCGUUGCGGAAGAUCUACCGGUCCCUAGUGCAGGGUAUUGUGGCGGAGGAUGAGGUAGGUGAGUGGCGGGUGGUGAGCCCCAACGCCUCCGCAACCCUGCCGUGUCCUUCCCAAACCCUCUUUACCCGUCCUCCCCCCCCUCCUUGCUGGCGGCCCCCCGCAGGGCCGUGUGGAUGUGCCCAUAGGGCCCGUCCAGUACCCGGGGGUUGACGGGGGCCUCUUCGCUGCCACACCGGGGGGCAAACCCGCUGCCAGCAUCUGGAGAGUCCUGGAGCGCCGACCCGGGGGGGGCAGGAGUCGGCAGUCCCCUCCUCCGCCUCCAGCUGCUGCUGCUGCUGCUGCUGCUGCUGGGGUCGCUGUCGCGGCUGCUGAGCUAGAUCUUGGAGGGGGGCCCGCUGUAGCAGAGGCAGUGGCAGAGGCAGUGGCAGGCGAGGGAGGGCCACAGCGGGUAGAGGAGCAGCAGUUGCAAGGCCAGCAGCAGCAGCAGUUGCAACGGGCUGGGGAGGCAGCAGCGGCUGCAGCGGCUGCAGCGCGGACGGUGGUGGAGGAGGACCAGGGGGACCCGGGACAUACACUUAUGGAGGUACGUCGUCAGUACACACACACACACACACACACACACACACACACACACACACACACACACACACACACACGCACCCAGACGUCGAUGUGACAGGUCAGAGAGCACGCAGGGCUGUAGACCAGGAUCACCCUGGCGCACCGCUUCCUUGUUUCGGGUUCGAAGUGCUGCGUGCUGACGCGCGUGUGUGUAUGUGCGUGUGUGUGCUCUAUCGUGCUUCGCACACCUCCGCGCACAAAGUACCUUCACAGCAAUGGAGGGGCUGUUUGUCGAUGUGAGCCGCCCGCAGACCGCCCGCAGACCGAGGCACUCCGUAACCGACUGAUGUGUUUGUUUUAGGCGCUUUGUGUUGCGAGUGCGAGAUUGCCGGUCAGCGCUUUGGCGUGAUGAUGUUGUGGAUCUUCCUCAGUGGUGGAUUUGGAUUUUUUCAUCUAAGCACUAUUUUUGGAUCUACGUGUAAUUUUUGGAUCUACGUGUAAUUUCUGGAUCUACGUGUAAUUUUUGGAUCUACGUGUAUAUAAUUAUUCAGGUGGAGAUUCUGACAGGUCGACCGCAUCAAAUCCGAAUCCAUAUGGCUGCAAUGGGCCAUCCACUCGUUGGAGAUCCACUGUACGGCAUCGGUGGCCUUCCCCGGGUAUGUCGUACACUGGGGCCGGCACGGGGAUCGAUGUCUCCUUUUUUGGAUCUCCUGGGAUGUCCCGACCUCUUAAGGGGUGAACGGGAAGGCAUCGUGACGUCAUCGUGGCAUGCCGCAACACCCACAAUAUUAACCCCAGUAUUGCAACAACAACACCGGCGCCACCAUAGCGCCAGCAUCAACGUAACGUGGACACCACACACUGUGUAACACAAUCUCCAGCUCCAUCAUCACCUCCGCCUCGUCAACGCGUCUAUCUUCCCUCACUCACUCCCUCGCUCACUCCACGCAUUCUCGCCCGCCCGCCCAGCAGGCCGGCCUAGACCUUGCCGUACUGGAGGAGACGGAGUCAGGUGCUGCAUCCAACCCCAAGUCCUCUGAUCUCCGCGACGGUGCUUUCGGAAGGCCAGGUGCGUGUAUAAAUGUGUGAUAGUGUGUGUGUGUGUGUGAGAGAGAGAGAGAGAGUGUGUGUGUGUGAGAGUGUGUGUGUGUGUACUGACCCGCUUGUUUCUUAUGGUGUCCAUCUCCUGGAGGCGUCACGUGCCAGGACCAGGACCAGGGGAACCCGUAAUAAUCUCUCAACCUCUAUCCCCUUCAAUAUUGCAGCUUAGUUCAGGCUGAGGCUUACCUUAUCAUACAAUAAAUAUGUUAUAUAUAUGUUAUAUAUAAUAUAUACAACAUAUUUAUUGUAUGAUGGCGUUCCUCUCGCUCGGGUGUACACUUACGUGUAUGUAUGUAUGUGCCAUCCCCCGGGGCUUGCUGGGCUACACAGGGUUUGGCGUUAUGUAUGUCAUCAGAUCGUUCAUUACCCCCGAGCCACAGUUCACAGGCUGCAGAGGACUUCACUCGUUAACUUCUGGAUCACAUGCCCAUUCUGUAUUCCGGAGCAAUCUUAGACCCCUCCAAACACACCCCCAUCACAAACACACCCAUUCCAUCCACACGAAUUUUGUUUCUUGUGACGAAGAUUCACACACCAGACUGCCCGCCUGUCAUUCAUCCACGUUGCCGUGUCCACCUCGGCCCGUCCCCGCCCGCACUCGCCGUGCUAUGCAGGGGACUGCGGCUAUCAUUUGCAUGCUCUGGAGCUCCACCUGCCCCACCCAACAACCACUAGCCACAUGCUGCUGCUCAGGGCGCCCCCACCCUCGCUGCUCAUGACAGCCGAGGAAAUGGAGGAGGAGAUGGUGGUCAAGGUGGAGCACCGGUUUGAGCUAUAGAAUGAUGGUUGUUGUGUUGGAAGUGGUCGUGGCAAAGUGGUCGUGGCAAGUGGUCGUGGCAAGUGGUGGGGCAGGCGGCACCUGCGGGCGCAUGGUGGAUACUGCCACAGUUUUUGUGUGGCCAGGCAAGUUAAGACUGGGUGUUAGAGCAGCGCAGAGUGGGCCGCUGAUAGCUGGUGGCAGUCCAGAUGCCUGUGGCGGUUGCGGCAUUAAUGAUUCAGAUCAACGGUGUCAACGGUGUGCUGAGAGUUAGUUGACCCUUGGUGAAGAGUUGCGUCGUCGUUGCUGUGUAGUUGGCUAGUUCUGAUUGAUCGACACAUUCUGUGCUGGUGACAAGUACGUGGGGUUGGAUGAUGGCUAAGCUCCUAGGCAGACUGAAGUCAGUGUGUGAUAAUUGGAGUCACGUAAUAUGAUGUGUGGGACAGGGGGGGCAUACCUUCACCCUGUGGCCGCCACCCGGCAGACCCUGCCUUCACCGGUAUUUCGGGGCACCCGCAUCCAGUCACCCUAGCUAACUUUUCAGUGGAUCGCUCAGGUUCAGCACCCACCACCGACAUCCAACGGAAUCCGCCGGAUCAACGGUGGCGGCUCAACUCCAUUCCUGGUCGGCUCGCAGGUCAACUUUAUCUCAGGUCACCACCGUCCAUCGACUAGGGGCACUUUUACCUCCCACCAUCGGAAGGAUUUUUCGACCUUGACCGGCCUCGAUAACACAUGUUAUAAUAUAUAUGUCGCCUGGUGUGACAUAGGGUGCUUGGAGAGGUGGGGCAAUCCGAUGGUGCAAACCGGCCGUCGGGCACCGGACCAACCGCUGUGCAUCGGCGCUGGCCAUGCGCACGACGUCCCGAUGCAAAAUCCGGAACCACAGCCUGACCACGUUGCAUGUGCAACAAAUGUCUGAGCCAACUUCCUAACUGUUGAGAGAGCCGACGAUUGGCAUGCCAUACCCUACAUGCGGCGAAAUCAAACGAAUCUCCCACAUACACAUCUCGAACUAUAACCAUAAGCAUGUACACCGACCCUGGCUUUUCCCUUCAGAACCCGCUGAUUGCUAUAGGGUUAAGAGCAGCGCCUUGCUCCGCCUUCCUGGAGCCUUCUUGGGUUCGGGACCAUCAUCCAUCGCCCUAGCAGGUGCCGAUGUCCGUCAUGUGGCGCUGUGGGGCCUCCCCACCUUCUCCCCUUCCCAUGCGUUGCCUUUAUUUUGAGCUGAGAUGGAGCCUCCUUUCCAAGGGGCUUCCACGCUUAAUGAAAAGCCUUUGCUUGAUUCCGGUUGGGGACUGAGCUUGGCCUGCACAGAGAAUAAUGCUAAGUCCUACCAUACAUACGUACCUCCACAUAUGUACAUACUUACAUACACCGAUACACAUUUACACAGAUACACAUACACGCAGAUGCAUGUACGUACUUAGCCACCAUGCGCUCUUUUAUCAUCGUUUACAUGAGGCAGAGACACAGGGUCGCGCGCCCCCGGACGAGCAGGAGGGGACCGUGGCCCCUCAGGCCCCUCUCUCUCUUCCCGCUAGGGGGAGAGUGCUUCGGCGGUCGCUCCUUCCCACUGGGGUACGGUUAGGUGCCCAUGGCCAGCGUCAGGCCCGGAUCGAUGUGUAACAGAAAACACACACAUACACUUACACACGCGUGACGGAGCCUUGACUUGUGAGAGCGUACGCGCGUGCGACGCCUCCUCCCACCCCCCGGGGGAGGAGAGCGGAGCUAGCGGACCUGCGGCUCUCGGCUGCUUAGGAGGGGGCAGAGGCCCCCCUCGCGCUCCUCUCCCGUCCGCGGGCGAGAGCUUAGGCGGUCUUUCCGUUGGGGCUGGGCAGCAGCCCCUGGCCAGUGUCAGGCCCGGUCAGAUACUUGUCACGUUCGCACACAUGUACACAUGCACAGAUACACAUACACAUACGCACAGAUGCACAUGUACACAUGUUACACGCACACACAGAUACACUUCUGCUGCGGCAACACUGACGAUGUACAACUCCAGGCGCCAACAACCGGAACCCACGGCGAGAGAGUACAACCAUUCCCUCGACAAACAAAACCCGACACCACUUCCCCCGACACCACUUCUCGAUGAUCCCCUUCCCACUCGAAGUCAUGCGCGCUACUAUUGCCCCACUGUGCGACCCCCAAGCGCCCUAAGAGCAGCAACAACAACAACAAUGGGUGCACCACUCGCCGCGUGGAGGUGGAUGGGCUUCCGUUAGAGGUCCGUGGUGGGCCAGCCGCCUGGAUUACCUCUUAACCCCCCUCUACCCCCCCCCGCCCAAAAUAAGUCCAACAGAUUACAGGGCGGCCCAUUCCCGGGCAGGCAGGCGGACAGGCGGGCAGCCGGGUGGGUGAGUAGGUGGACAUCUAAAACGGCUCAGACCCGGCUGAAGGACACGAAUCAACUCUCCUACGGAUUAACACACGAUGGCAAUAACUUCGGCAGGCAACUACGUCCUCCUCCCCACAGAUGGUAGCGUUGGCAGACACCGUACAGCAUCGUACCUCGUAGUGUGUACACUCCAGCAGCAGAUACGGGACAGCCCAGCCCCCUAGUCGCAUUAAAAGCUCCCGACCUCACAGCAGCGUACACAUGCACGCACGCCCCUUUGAUACACUCACACGUCUGUACAUCAUCCAGAAAGGCCCGUGCAUGGGUCGUAAUAUCCUCCACUAGCAGCAGCAGCAGCAGCAGCAGCAGCAGCAGCAGAGCACCCAGUGUGGGUGUGAUGUGUGAUGUGUGAUUUUAAUCGUCCCGUGCAUGGCCCUAUCCUCACAGCCCGUUGCCUCAUUACGCCACCACUACCAGCUAAGCCAUUCUAUAUAUGGCGUCCCUACCAGUGCUGGCACUGCAUCCAGCACCGUUUCCUGCCCCGACAGUUCUGAUGUUUUAUCCCACCAGGCGGGCCAUGUGGUGAUGAUCUGUUAUGUGUGUAUCGGUGAUGGCACGGGCGAGAUAGCCGACCCUCGGGUCGCUCAAUACACAGGUUCACUGUCAUCUAGGGCACAGCCCCCUAAAAUGCACGGCUAAAGACCCCCGAUCCGAUCCUGCCUGACCCGAUCCUGCUCCAGGAUCAAGCAAAACUACACGGGUUGGCACAAUACUUCGUGCAGCAGGCAGUGCAUCACCUCCUUGUGGGCGAUAAUAACGGCUCAUAACGUACCAAAAUAACAUUUGAAACUUCAGAUGUGAAGUCGAAAAUCUCAUCCUGAUUCAGUCGCUGCGUCUAAUGCCCCUGGGUAAGGCAGCCAGCGAUAAAAGAUGAAAUAUAAGUCCGUGAUGUGGCCUUGUCUUAGUCAUGAUGUAUUGAUGCUGCGUCGUACAGGCCAGGGGCGUGUUGGAGUAGUUGGUUUCUCUAGGAGAUGAGCAUGCGUCCAUCACCUUUGCUCAAUCCUUAAACCCAUACCGCCGCCAAUAUGUUUGAUCCAUAUAUGUGCACAUAUAUGAGAUAUACAAUGUAUACGUGUGUGUAACAUAUGGGAUAUGCGCACAUUAGGCAUAACAUUACAGGCUCGACUCACGGCUAAACAGCUUCAUUUAUGCCAACUUGAUUUAGUAUACCUAUAGUAGUAAUAUGUAGUGCGGGCAACCAAAAUUGUCAUGCAAGCUGCAGUGCGAGGCCGCGCGCGUGUCGCCAUAAAAAGCAUAGGCCGCGACUACCUUUCCUGCCGACCUCCCUGCCUGUCUGCCCAGCGCAAGCCGCAUUCCUCCGACGCCUCUGCCUGCCGCUUCUUCCGGGCUUCACAUAGGCCUUCGUGGUCCUUCGUUUUUCCCGACACACACCACACACAUAGUCGGUCUGCCCUCCGUUCACAUCCUCCCCCCCGGCAUUAGCUGCCUGCCCGCCGGUGGGGGCCGGGUGGUGGUGGAGGUGGCUGGAUUUGGAAUCCAUAUAAAUUACCCAAAUGAAGACAUCUACCAACGAAUUCAGUCAACUCAGCAUCCAUUAGAACAGCGCGGCUCCCAAUGCCAGUCCCUGCAUUGCCUGAGUACGCGUUUCACUACGUAUAAGCGUAUGUAUAUAAUACAUGUGCAGUGCAGGUCACAGACAUUACCAAAGCAUGAAGGAGGGGGAGGGCGCAUGAAGGCUCCAGGGCGCGUGGAGAACACGUAACACCAACGUAACACCAACUCUUUGGCCCGACCAGCAGGUCUCAAAACGGCAGAGACGCAGAGAACUUCGGACACAUCGGAGCAACAACAACAACUAUAAACAUGGACCGCCUCAAAUGGGGGAGGGAGGCUCGUGUUGUCCCUUCCCUCGCCGCUUCUUCAGCUUCUUCCUGUGGGUAGCCGCAUGCCGAAAAAUACACAAGACUGCGCUACCCCAAAGUUUGGAUUGAUUGGGUUUCAGCACCAGGGAAAACUGGCGCCGCAAAUCGGUUCCGGGUACAAGUUCAUGCACCAUGAAGUCCUCAUCGAAAUCAGGGGCAACAUAAAAGCAACCCCAUAAAACAUUAAUCUGACAAGCUAUAAAACCACAAAACCAUAAAACAUAGCAUCCGAACUCGGUCUAGAUUCGCGCAACGGCGCCACCUGCUGAAGCCGCUAAUAAGAAAGCGGAUAAUCAAUUAUGAAGGUCUAAACAUAAUGUUCAUCCUUCCCGUACUUCCUUUUUUUCCCCCAUCCUUCGACACCUUGCAUCAUUCAGUCACGGAUAAAAACUGCAUCGCCAUUAAUCUUAGCUAAUUGUAAAAAUUGAGCAUCCAUCGCGCAUGAUGAUAUUCUUCCGGCGUUAAUUGGAGGCAUAACGGCAAAUGCCAGUCAAGCACCGGCCGCUGGCCUCACCAUCCGCCGAUCAGCAUCCCCCCACACUUUUUUACCACUUUGACACACCCAACCAAAACCAGAGAUACUCUCGACCUCUGGUUUCAUAAUCCAUUACCAUACUCUCGCCAUAUCCGCGGCUUCCAUGGCCACAUGGGGCAUCCUUUGCUCUUUUACGGCCUACCGGAGCCCUCCGAGACAGACCCAAACUUUGCACAGUCACACAAUCACAUACUCUGAAUCUUCCUCCCAUACUCCUCCCCUACAGGCGUACAAACGCCGCACCUGCUCUAAUGGAAUGUUUUGUCAGCCCAGGGGCUCAUUUCCGCUACCGCUGCCGCGCCCGGCCAGCAACGCGGCCCCGCCGCCAGCACCGCCCAUCCCGUCAUUUCCCCCGGCGGCACCCCACACCGCUUUCGCGAUGCUCAGUGGCCCCGCCAUAAGGCCCCUCCCCAGUCCCACCAUUAAUAGGCCGUUCGCCAAUAGUCCGUAAAAUGUCCGGCCGCCGCUCAUAGGUACAGCCCCAGCAGCCGCUGCAGCUGUUGCCCCUGCAGGGGCUCCUCCACAUCCCCCGCCCACUCGAAGGUGCGCAUGGAUCCCUUGCCCUUGAUCGCCGUCAAGCCCAAGUCCCGCCACGGCUCGCUCGGCAGACGCUCCCGUGUGGCGGCGCUUACGUGGAUGCUGCCAGGUCGGCAGGUGGACUCCAUGCGACUGGCCACGUUCUGCAGGGACACCAGACAAGGAAGCAGGGAGAGAAACAAGAGAAGCAUAGAAGGGAACAGGGAGCAAUCGCUUUGGCUAUAUUCUUUUCGCUGCCUGCUGUGACCCAUGGGUCGGUCUCUGUCAUGAAACCAAAGUUGACCGACGAAAAGGUCGAAAGCCGCCGAAUGUGUUGGUGGUGAUCUAGCAAACGGUUUGACAGCGUCCACGGUGUUUUUACCCCUGGCCGAGUAAACUUUUUCAUUCCAAAAAGAGAAGCAAAUCGCUUCGCACCAAGGCUAUUCAUUUCCGAAAAGCAGCGAGUCGGGGGACGGUGGUGUUCCCAAGGAGCGAAAGGUCCGCGGGCGGGGGGCAGCUCGCGGGGGCCGGUGGAGAAGAGGCGGUGAGGAAACACGAGGGAGGACGGAUGCGGUAACGGGAACGGGGGCUGCAAUCAGGCUGAACUCAGGCGGAAUGGGGAAGCGCUGCAACCAAAGGGCUCUGGGGUGCGUCGCACCAAAGGGGGGGGAUCGUUCCCCGUCAGCCGAGCCCCCGUCAGCCAGUCCCCUCUGCCCUCUCCCCUCUGCCCUCUCCCCUCCCUCUCCCCUCCCUCUCCCCUCCCUCUCCCCUCCUUCCUCCCCUUUCCCCCUCUCCCCCCUCCCCCACUCACCACCGUGUCCCCAAACAAACAGAACCUGGGCAUGGUGUCCCCCACCACCCCGCUGGUCACCGGACCGCUGUGCAGACCCACACGCAACUGAACCGGUUGGCCGUUGUGCGGCAAACGAACGUCCCGGGACACGCGGAGUAUCGCCUGGGUCGCGUGUGUGUAUGUGCGUAUGUAUGCGUGUGUACACGUGCGCGUGUUUUGCGUUUUGCACGGGGGAGAAGGGGAAGGAGAGAGAGGGGGGAACGAGGUGUCGGCAGGGGCUCCCGGGGGACUAGAAAGAGGUACACUGAGGAUUAUGGUUUGGAAUGUGGUUAUGGAUGUCCUGUGGUUGUGGAUGGCCAUCAUGGUCGUACAUAUGAGGCCCAUAUGAGGCGCACUUUGCAUUUGUUCAUUUUUCACGUGUGCUAUGUGUUGGUGCUGACCCUUGGCAAGGUUUACGACUGAUUAAUGGCCCUAUAGCCUGUCCAGCCGCCACAGGGCGACGGCAAUGUGUGUGUGUGUUUGUGUGUGUGUGUGUUUGUGUGUGUGUGUGUGUGUGUUUGUGUGUGUGUGUGUUUGUAUGUUUGUGUGUGUGUGUUUGUGUGUGUGUGUGUGUUUGUGUUUGUGUGUGUGUUUGUGUUUGUGUUUGUGUGUGUUUGUGUGUGUGUGUGUGUUUGUGUGUGUGUGUGUGUUUGUGUUUGUGUGUGUGUGUGUUUGUGUGUGUGUGUGUGUUUGUGUGUGUGUUUGUGUGUGUUUGUGUGUGUUUGUGUGUGUUUGUGUGUGUUUGUGUGUGUUUGUGUGUGUAUGUGUGUAUGUGUGUGUGCGCACACACGUGGCUGUGGUGUCAGCAGCACCUCCCCGGCCCACCUUGGCGAACUCCAUGGUUCGUACGGCAUGUAGCGGAUCCUCCGCACCGCUGAUGACGGACUUGUACCCGUCUUCGUCGUACGCCACCAACCCGCCGGCCACCAUGUAACAGUCUUGCGACAAAGCGGGAGGACGGAUGGGGAUGGGGCGAGGGCAGAAAAGGGGCAGUUAGUUGGCAUCAACGGUCGUAACAACCUGGUUGGUUAAAAUUAACGAACCCGAUGGACCGAUAGACCGAUGGCAACAACUCCACCUCUAGUGUACGGCACAAGUGCAACACGUGGAGGUGAAGCGGUACUGACGUCAGCAGCAGGCAGAGGCACCUGCGCUGAGCACACAGAGAGAGGCUGACUAGGGAACCAAACCACCAGAACUAACGGAAAACGGACAUCAGCGGUUGUGCAGGGUCAGCAAGGCGAGCAGCAAGGGCACAAACAUGCCGUGUGAGGUCGCGUCACGUCACUUCAAUGUACGGCACACCUACCUCCAAUUGUUUCCACUUUAUAGACUUUGUAGAUAUCCACAAGGCCGUCGAAUCUGCUGUACAGGUCGUUGAGGAAGGUCAUGACUGUGAAGGGGCUGGCGGAGUGGCACAUGGUAGUGAAGCCCACGAUAUCUGGACCACCGGCGUGUGAGGGGGGGGGGAAAGGGGGGGGACACAAAGCAAGUGCACACACACACACACACUGCUUGUUGUAACCUUUUGAUUUUGCUCUCUUUUUAUUAGUAGCAGAUUCCUCUUCUUGCUCCCUUGUUCUGGCAAGUUGUUUUAAUAACAAUCGCCCCGCGGGUAAGAUGGAUCCACUCAUGGCGGCGGCGGCGUCUGUAUACCUCCUCCUCCUCCUCCUCCAUGCGCUGCGUGCGGGGCACUAAACCCCUAGGGAGGAAAGCCCUGAUCGGCGAUCAGGCCGUGCGCUUCCCCCCCCCCCUCGUCCCCUUUCCCCCUGCCCCUUCCCCCGCCCGGGGGAUCUCCUCUUCCCGGCUCUCUCCCCCCUCUACACACACAUACACACAUACACACACAAGCACCCCCGGCUUCGGAGAGACGCCCCACCCCCACCCCCACCCAGUGUUUUUUUUUUAAGUAAUAUAUUACUUUUAAGGAAUAAAGAGGCCUUUUUGGCCUUUGGAAAUAAGGAACAAAGUGAGGCCGAUCCGUACAUUUUCAUUCCUUCAGCCAAAAACGUCCAUUGCUGCCAGAUUGCUCCGUAGUGUGCAGAACUUAGUAUUAUCGAUCAUAAAAUAGAUAUGAGGGGCCGUAAGAAGGUCAAGCCCGUGAGUCAACGCGGCAUAGCAGAAUGUAUGACCGGUCCUUCCAUAGACAAACACGCAAAAGGCAACGACUUGAACGCCGAACAAACACAAAAACAGCAAGAUAAGUCUGAAAUUUUUCCUGAUAAAGGCGUUUGNNNNNNNNNNNNNNNNNNNNNNNNNNNNNNNNNNNNNNNNNNNNNNNNNNNNNNNNNNNNNNNNNNNNNNNNNNNNNNNNNNNNNNNNNNNNNNNNNNNNNNNNNNNNNNNNNNNNNNNNNNNNNNNNNNNNNNNNNNNNNNNNNNNNNNNNNNNNNNNNNCUAAAUGAAAAAAAAAUCACUGCCCCCACCCCACCGCAGAACAGCACAGUGACACACGUGUGCGCUGUCGCUAGCGACGCCAGUCGCGUGGCCUUGUCACCGUACGACACCAGCGGUGGCGGCGCCGCCGCCGGGUCGCCUCCCUCGCCUCCGGCGGCGCUUGCUGCUGGAAAGGAAAGGCCUGGGCUAGCGUCGCGACCGGGGGCGACUCCGCCGCUACCGCCCAUGGCGGUACUGCUUGUGACCGCGGCCGGGGGCGACUCCGGGGCUCCUGAAGGGUAUCCGGUCCCCCUUGUAAGAUACUCAAUGCAAUGACGUGGAAAGAUGCUCUCCAGCACCUAACAUGCACGUCGGAGGGUUGGAAGCGAGUUCAGGAUGCUAUUGACAUAAAUAAUAAUAUUGAAGGAAGUAUUGGGAUGGCAUUUUUGUGGGCAUCAUUUUGACGUACGGCAACAACAGUUUGCCUGUCUGUAGUUCUGGUUCUUAGGGUUUGAACUCUGGUGGGAAGAUUGGGGCAAUUGAUGGCGGUCGACGUCGCGCCAUUCGCCCCGUUGGACGGGAAGCUGUCCUUGCCCUCCAAUCAAUGGACUUCGACCUCAACACGAUGUCGUGCCGUACGGCACGGUAUAGUACGGUGUUGUACACAACCUGUUUGUUGGGAACCGUACUGUCUGUCUAGUGGAACUUCCACACGAACACGUUGAUUGGACACUCCAAAAGGCAUACGCACGUACAGACAAACAUACAGACAAACAUACAUACAGACAAACAUACAACACGCAACAACACGCGCCCUGCCGGUGCGCUCCCUCCAAGCACCUUGUGCUCCUUCUGCAGCAACCUGGCCAUGGGCUGGUGCUCCAAGAGGUGAUCCGUCACGUCCACUUGCGACACGACGAACAACCGGCCGCCGCCGCCGCCGCCGCCGCCGUCAUCAGCUGCAGCUCCGCUCAUGUGUGUCGUACCCUGAAGGUUUCUUAUUCCGCCGCCGCCGCCGCCACCUUCUAUGCUCUGGAUUUGGAUUUUAUGCCAGACAGUUGCUUCCAUCGUAGCGUCGGCGCUAAGUAGGGCAGUGGCGGUGGGAAAAUACGCGUUCAACUCGGGAACGACGGGGGUAACGCCGGCGGUGGCGGCGACGGUGGCGGUGGCGGUGGCGGUGGCGGUGGCGGAAGCGGCGGCGCUCGUCAAUCCACCCCGCCCUGAAGCCCCUCCCGCCAGAGCGCUCUCGCAGCUGUCCAAAUCGCUGGAGGCUGUACAGCGCGCCAGGGACGCGGCUGCCGCGCCGACGCCGACGCUCUUGCCGGCGCCCGUCAACGGCUGCGUUGCCGUCGUGGCGGCAGCCGUCGUUGUCCGCUGGAGCUCAUGGAAAGUGGAAAGGUGUGAGGAUAACUGCCGGGAGGGACCCUGACGCUUGAUGGCGCCGCCGCCGCCGCCGCCGCCGCCGCCGCCGCCGCCGCCAGCAUGCAGGUCGCCACGCGGUGGCAACAUCGCUAUUGUUGUGCCGCCGCUGCAGCAGCGGCUAUGUGCGGGGCUAGACAGCGGCCGCUCGAUUUCCCCUAUCUGGCCCUGAAUAUGGCGUUGCUGCUGCUGCGGCGGCUGGUUUUGUUUGUGUGCGCCGUACUGCGCCUGCUGGUGCUGGUGCUGAUGCUGGUGCUCUAGGUGAUGCUGCGGGUGAUGCUGCGCUGGCGUGGGUUCGUUCACAAAGCUGGACAUCAGCUGCCGCAGCCGAGCAUGGGUGCUUGCCCGCUGAGGCGGCUUACGAUAAGGCUGGCGGAGAGGCGAGCGCUGCUGCUGUGACAGUGACUGCGGCUGUGGCUGCGGCUGUGUUACUGGCGACGGCGGCUGCGCGGCCGGUGGGCACCUCUGGCUCUGCCUUUUCGUUUGGCUAAGAGACGGGCUGCUUGACGGCGGGCUUUCACCUAGCGGCGAGCCUGUUGAGGGGGAUCCGCCGCCUCUGCUGCGGGCCCUGCUGGCCUGGAAGCAAAUGGACGCGCUGCUGACGCAACGCCGGGGAACGACGUGGUGCGGUAUGCGGUAUGAAGGAUAAGGCCGCAGCUCCGGAGCCGCCGCUGCCGCCGGCAGCAUCGCCGCGUAUGGUGGCGGCGGGAGAGCCGGCGGCUGCGUUUGGGACGCGGCAACCUCUACAGCGGCGGCGGCAGCGGCAGAAGCAACAGCGGCAGGAGGUGAAAGUGAGGCGCCCGUCGCAAGUCGCUUCUUGUUAUGGGUGGUGUCUUUGGAAGCAGCGGCACGGCCUCCAGCGGAGGUGGCGGACCCGGCGGCCGCGGCGUCCAUGCCAGCCGCCUGCUCGGAGUUGCACGUCACGAAUUCAUUGGCCAUGCAGCCACAGCCGCUACCGCCGCCGCUACCGCCGCCGCCGCCGCCGCCGCUACCGCCGCCGCCGCUAUUAGCCACGAGCACCGGCACGGGCGGUGACAGCUCGAUAACUUCAUUCCUAGGUCUGCAUAUCGGCAGGCCAGCCCACGCAGCGUCCUCUGCGGCGGCAGAGGAAACGACGGCGUCAGCCGCAACGCCGCUGCCGCCGCCGCCGCCGCCUUUGGCAGGGGCGGCGGCAGCCGGUGACCCAAGGGUCGGCUCCCCUUGCAACGCCGCAGGCCUCCACAAACCCAAGCUUGCCUCCGGCAUCGCCUCAUGGAACGCUCUCGUGCUAACGCCGCCGCCGCCGCCGCCGGAGGCGGUGGCGGAAGUCGCGGCGCCAGUGCCAACGACGCCGCCACCGCCGUCGCGCGCGAGAACCGGAACCGUCACCGCAUCUACGGAUUCCAUUUCACUGAAGGUAGUGGCCGCGGUGGACAGCAAAUAACAAUCGGGAGGUGCGACGGCAGCGCUGCCCGUGGAGCCUGUGAUGGUUUCGAAGGCCUUGCCGGAGUCCAGGCCACAACAACCCAGAGUGCUGCCGUGCGCUGAGAGUAGAACGGGAAGGCACGCUCCGGAACCAUGGCGCGGUUGGGCGGCCUGCGGCGGUGACGCAGCGUCGACACUGCUGCCAUCGGCGGCAUCGGUGGCGGCGAUGGUGGCCGCCACUGAUGCAGUAGUAGGUGUGAAGUGGCUAGGCGCUACGCCAACUUUGUCAUGGUCAACGACCCGUGGGUCGGUCAACGCCGAGGGGCCUGAUGGAGGCGGCUCAUUGGAGUGAGCGUUAUGGCUCACCUGCCAUCCACAGUCAUUGGCCCUGCAGCCGCCGCCACCGCCACCACAGCCAGGACGCCGAAUGCGAGCGAUGUCACUGUCUAGAAAGUAACCUGGACUUCUGCUGACGGCGCCGACGGGGCCGGGCCCUGGAAUAAUCACAUCCGCCAUUGUGUCCCUGCUUGCAUGUGACAGGGAUUGAACCGCCGACUUGGGGCCCAACAGGCUGCGUGGCCGUGGGAUAACGGUGCCCGCCUGUGUGAAGUCAGGUAGCGCCGCGCCAUGCAGCAGCGAUACAGCACGACGUGCCGCCUCCCCACCGGAAGCUUCAUCCGGAGCGGUGUUACAGCGUCCCAGAGGUGUAGCAGUAGCAUGACCGUCGACCUCUGUUGUUUCGGCUGUAGCUGCGUCUGCGGCAGAUGCGAUUGCUGCCGUGGUUGCUGCAGCCACAUCAGUCGGAGGCGACGACGUCAGCGACAACCAUGACGGCGGCGGCGAAAACACGUCAGACACCUCGGUGUACGGCAGCUCCGGGGCAGUAUUUGAGGGCGACGCCGGCGACGCCGCCCGAUCGUCCGAAUGAUCCUUCACCACCCCUGCCGCUGCCGCUGCCGUACCUGGCCGGCGGGACGAAGACCGCCGCACAGCACCAAGGGCUGGCGGCAACAUGCCGCCGGGCAGCAUGCUGACAGUACGCCGCGGUGCUGUACGGCGCCUGGAGCUAGCAGUCGCCGCCGCCGCCGCCCCCAGCAGCCGCUGCAGCGUCCCCGACGGCGGCGAGAUCCAAUGCAAUGGCGUGGCGCAGCUAGAGGAUGGCGGCAGCAGGCCUCUGCGAGUCUCCAGCGGCAUCAUAGCCGAGUACGGCAUUGUGGGCAGGGCGCCGUGGCCGGCGGCGGUGACGGCGGCUGUAGCGGCGGAAUUGUUUUCCGCAGCCUGCGGCAGCAGCGCGCUCCUUUGCAGCCAGCGAGAAAUGCUGCAAUGAGGGCGGGAUCGCGUCGUCAAUGCGAGGCCGUCGGCGUCGACGUCGCAAGCGCUCCCGGCAGCGCCAGGGGCGCUCAGCACGCCCUGCUGGUAGCUUGAUGGCAGCGACUCCGCCAUUCGCGGCUGAUCAUUCGGUGCCGUACUCAUGAAUUGCAGCACCGUCAUGGGCUGGGUGGCUGAGGAAGGGGAGCUCUGCAAGCGCUCCCAAGGCGCGGCUCCCCUCGUAGCUGUGGCGUCGCUGGCGGUGGCGGCGGCAGCGGCGGCGGCACUGCUACCGCCGCUGCCGCCGCCACCAUCAGGUCCGCCCCGGAGCACCUCCUCCCUGAGCGCCAACUUUACAGAACUGUUGCCGCCGUACGGCAGCGGUGACUGUGUUCCCGGCUGCUCCAAAUGUUCCAUAGAAGCUACAGCUACAGCUACAGCUGCUGUUGCCGCUACUGCCGACGUGGCUACAUCUGCGACCUUGCAGGCCAGUGGCGCUAUGUGAGGUGAUGAAGGCACGCGGCGCGGGCUGGAGUCCCAUCGAGCCGGGAAGCUGCUGGCGGGGUAGCUGGCGGAAGGGGAAGCGCAGCCGCCGCUGCCGCCGCAACCAUGGGCCGUGACGGCAGCGUCGGCGGCAGAGGACACGUUACUGACUGCAGCAGCAGGUCUGUCUGCUCCGCGGUCCAUGCGCCGCUCAGGUGGUACCUGCUGCGUGCGGAAGAUGCCGCUAUCCGGAUAUGACAGCACGGGACCGCACCUGCGGUGUGCUAGGCUGCGGUUGCUGCCAGCAGCAGCACCACUACCACCACCACCGCCACCGCCGCUGCCACCGGCCCCGUCGCUGCCGUCGGCCGGCUCUAGCGCGGCCAGGAGUAACCUGCGCAGUCAGACGGACCGACGGGUCGGCCACGGGGGUGCAGGGGGACCCAAUUCGUUUGGAAAAGGCACGCGCCGUGGCUUCUCGAUCCGAAACGCUGCUGCUCCUGCUGCGGCGGCCGCAGCCGCUGCUGUAGCUCCAAAAAGCUAAGAUCAUAAACCGGCACCGGCACCGGCACCGGCACCGUUGAAAACACACAUAGGUGCCUGGAUCCAUUGUCCGGGAUUCAUCCGGAUCAGUUCCCUCUUGGAAAUUAAAUCCCGACAUCUUCCCGGCGUUUCCAAAGGUAACACUGCUAGUAUGUCCGCGUACGCGGCCCAUAAGGGCCCCUUCAAGCACAGAACAUGAAACAUGGAUCACCUUACAAACGUAAAGCUGUCCUUAUCAGCAUGUUGGGAUCUAUAUUAGGAGUUCUUGUCUUAGCCCCGCCACGCCGACAAGUGCAGAGAUGCAAAAACCUGGAUGCCUCUCUAAAUCCCGGCACCCUCACCCUAAUACCUGUCGACAUGAUCGAUGAGAGGGGAGGACAACUUCCAGCUCCCAUCCCCGCCUGACGGCAGGCCCCGGCUGCUUUCGCCUCCGACACUCGUGUAGUGACUAAUGCCAGCAGCCGCAGCCGCAGCCGCAGCCGCAGCAGCAGCCCAGCAGCACCCUGCAACCCCAUCUCCGCCGCCGCCGCCGCCGCCGCCGCCGCCACCUCCCGGCCCGCUCCCUCCCGCUGCCAGCUCGUCCAGAGGACCCAGACGACCCGGCAGUCUCACAACGGCUGAAAAGCUCUGCAGAUAACAACACGAGGGGGUGGUUGCAUGUAUGCACUGCAUGUAUGCGCAUGCAUGCACAAGCGGGACUUGUAACUUGUAACUUGUAACUUGUGUGCACAAGCGGGGUGAGAAAGAAGCCCGCUCGACGGUCUCUUGUUUCCAGGCGAGUACCAGGAGCUGAGGGCUCUCUGCUGCUGCCGCCGACAUGGAAACCCAACAGGAGCCAUAGGCCAAACAAAUGCAUAACUGUGCGGUGCAUGCAUUUGCCCAUGCGACCCACGAGCCACGUCUUCGUGCAUCAGGCAGUUGACGGGGACGCUCUAACUGGCAAAGCAGUCAAACCCUCCAAAGACCCCACUCAGCAACUCUGAGCGCCGUUAGUCGGGGAGGCGCCUCACUUGACCGCAGUUCAUCGCCUGGAGGGCCUGAUCCAGCAGCGGCUCAGAUGCCGCUGGCCCCUGCUGCCGCCAUGCGGACGCGUCAUUGCAGGCCGUGUUGGGGCCUCCGCUGCUGUUGCCUCCUAGCAGUGCCCACAGGACAACUGCCGCACCAAGCCCCCGAAUGUCGCCAAAAUAUGCCUGCAUGGGAGACCGCCAGGCCGGGGGGAACCGCGGUAAUACGGGCCGCGAUACGCGCGGAAGAAAAUUUGGGCCGCAGGGCGGGCCCGAUUCAGAAUGGAGUGGGCGGCACGGCGAGGGGCAGGCGGCGCCACUUAGUCGAUGGAGGAGGCGGCGGAGGCGGUGCAGGGCGUAGGUUGCGAGGCGGUACGUGUGUUUUGAGUGAGUGAGUGAGUGAGUGAGUGAGUGAGUGAGUGAGUGAGUGAGUGAGUGAGUGAGUGAGUGAGUGAGUGAGUGAGUGAGUGAGUGAGUGAGUGAGUGAGUGAGUGAGAGAGAGAGAGAGAAGAGGUGUGUGUGUGUGUGUGUGCAUGUGGCUUGCGUCACAAUCACCCUUGUCACAUUCAUCUGACCCUGCCUUUGCUGGCGGAUGGAAUAUGGAAGGGUACCCGCGUCCACCUGCCGCAUGCUUCGUUCCCUUCCCCCUUUCCUUUCCUUCCCCAUCGCUGGCCCUGCGUUCGUUCGCGGCCCUGCACUAGCAGCCCGAUGAGGCUCCUGUCCGCGAGAUAUCUAGCCAGCCAGCCAGUUAACCAGGCACCCACCUGCGAUUGGGCGUUUUGAUAGAGUACGACCCUGCACGACAGAUGUACGGAGUAAGGAGGACCCGCUUGGUAAGAAUCCUCGACUGGGCCCCAGGCAAGGAGUACACGCACAGGCAAGCAGGCAUAUGCAGGCUGGUAGGCCGCGCAGGUUUCCGACGUAACACCAUCUCCUCACACAUUACACGACAUAACAUUCAUCACCCAUUACGCAUUCACCAGCGCCCGCCAUCAUGCAUCCACCACCCCCAUCUUGGACCCACCAUCGCCAACUUCAUCCCACCAUCACAAGCCCUACACCUUAUUCACCCGGUGUCACAUACCGUUCAGCAUUACGUGCCCACACGAACACGAACCCACCCGGGAUGACGCAUGACGGUGGCUAUGCAGGGAACCGCGUCCAUAGCGGCUCGCGGUAGCCAGCCCAAGCUCUCGUCCCGACCAACGCUCGCGCGCCUGCUGCCACCACGCCCGCCCCCGCCGUCGUCGCAACUGUCCUCCUUAUUCUCCCCACGCCUGACCUCGCCACCCACAUUCACUGCCGCCUCCGUUUCGCUUCCAAUCGAUAUGCUCCUGCCUGAACCCAGGGGGAGGCCUGGAAGGUCAUUGUCGGAGGCGACGGGCAACCGUCGCUGCAGCGGCGGCGGAGACGCCGCCGCCGGCGGUGGCGACACCAAGGGCUGCUGAUGCGUAGAUUGCCCAGACGUCCGGUAACGGGCGCUGACUGUCCGGAGAAUGGCGCCGCCUGACGCGAGGAGCUCCGAACUUGAGACUGCAUUGACGGGGGAGGUGAAUGCGGGGAGCUGGACCUCGCCGUUGGCCGCAGCUUCAGAGCCGCCGUCACGGGCGCCAGUGGCGGCGGCGCUGUCGGCGGCCGACGGCACCGGCACUGCAGCAGCGAGAACGCCACGAACUAGUACAGCGGGUUUGGAGGCUUUUGCACGGCCUCUUGUGGCCAUAUCGUCAUCUCCCGGCUCCAAUAGGCAGCUUUGAAUCUGCAGCGGUUGGGAUUGUGGUAAAGGUGCGUUUUAGGGCUCACCUGUAUUUGGCCUCAUCCCAUCACACCACACCACACCACACCACACCACACCACACCACACCACACCACACCACACCACACCACACCACACCGCAAAGGAUAAACUACAUGCCGCCCAGAUAAAAUAGAUAGAUCGAUAAGUCAUCCCCUAAAGGGGAUAGAGUCACCAUUUGGUGCGCCGAGUUUUCUGACUUCUCCAAAUACACAUUCCAGCGUAUAUGUAUCAGGCUACGAUGCUUGAAGAGAAAGGAGGUAAGGAGCCCGUUGUUUUCGUGAUUUGUGAAACGGACGCCAUAUUGCUUGUGACCCCAGCUACCCGGGUACGGAUGGCACGCCGUGCAUGCGCGUAGGCAGGCAACACUUUUGAGCCGAGAGACUGUAUGACUUCGCUAAGGACAUAUCGGCACCCUCCUAUGCUGGCCCGCUGGCCACAGGGCAGCGGUCUGAAAUCGCUGGAUCUGGUCGCUCGUGGAUCCGGAUCUGGUCUGGAGACACGCCGACACUCCGAACACUCCGGAUAGGCUCCAGUACCCACCGUAAUCAUCGCUUCACGUCCAUCACGCCUUUGAGGAGAUAUUAAACGCGAAACAAGCUUUGUGGCCUGCAUGCGGGGGCUGAUUUGGAGCCGUAGGUGGAAUGCAAUCCCAUCCACAGCGCACCUGGGAACAUCCAUACGUGCGAGGUAUGCAUUUGAACAUGUGUAUUAUGGCUAAAACAUUUGGUUGUAACGGAAGGUUACGCGUGAACUUACUUAGCCGCUGCGUUGAACGCAGAUGCGGCGACAGGGUCGGACUCCCGCAACGCCUCCAAGUCGGUGUCAGCAUCGCCGCUGUCCAGAUUAAAAGCCUCACCAGAAGCUUUAACAGCAGUUAACUUGUAUGGGCAGUCUCUAUCGUCUCGUGCAUUUACACGCGGUUUCAGGCAAGAUGUGAGCUGGACCAUCCAUUCUCGCCCGACGCGCUGAGACCUCUGGAGAACUUCAAACACUAUACGGCCUUCAUCUUGGGAUUGCGACUCCUCGGUAGCUUUAGAUGAAAGUAAUGGUAGAGCUUUCAGCUCAGAGGUUUCUAUUCGCAGCAUAGCCUAAAGUAUAUGUCUCAAAGUAGAGCACCGCCGAGCCCAGCAGUUAAAAGGAUCGGACGGGGUUGGCACCCAAGUGUACGCGGCCUUGGCUCAGGAUAAACCGGGAGGGAACGAAAUACCGGUCCCGCCCAAUCGGAAAGAACAUUGCAAGUUUUUGCAUGAAGCGCUUACUCUCCGUAAGUAACUGCGUAAAAAGUUACUGACGCCUGACAAGGACUCGAUUAACUUCCGUACGCCGUCUGAAACUGCGAACUGUGGUACGUUUGCAGUGCUUUUAUUGUAUGACGUGCAGGCAGUAGGCUUACAAUUUCGAACAAAACAUUCAAGGUUAUGUAAAAAACAAUACAUAUUAGACCCUCAGACAUUUGCGAAACCAUUCUUACAUCAUCCUUUCGAAGUGGACGUCGCCACCCGUAAGCUAGACGUUCUUCUCUGCAUACCACUCAAGCACGGCGGUCCGGCAUUUUAAUUAUCUAAGGACUUAUAAUUGCCAUCUUUAUGUCGACGUUUAUCAAAAGCGAAUUUGUAACCGUCAUGUGACGCAUAUUGCAAUUGCCGGCUGACUGCCUUCGCCGAACGAACUUUAAGAUGGCACAUUACGCGUCAAGUCAAGGCUGUGGCGAACAGUGGCGAACUCCACAGCAGGCUUGGCGACUUCCAGCAAUGACGACCAAAGCCAAAAGGACUGUGACAGAAGUCAUUUCGUUCUCCUACAGGAACAAUAGUUUACAAAAGAGAAAGCAAAAUCCCAAUUUGGCACUCGCCGUGUAGCCGUCGGGAACAAAGAUCAGCUUAUCCUGGGGCAUGCCGUCUCCAGGCCGCUUGCCUGGCCCAAGGUCGUGCUGUGGGCGUAAAAAAAGAGGGGGCGAGGAGUCGUGACACCGCACGCAUGAAAGAAACUCUAUUCGCUUGAGCUGUGAAAGGCGGUUUUCUGUGGAUAGGGGCAACGUCGAUGUUCUCUGUUUUCUGGUGACAGCCCUGUAGGCGCCUUACGGCGUCUCUCGGGCACACAGGGUUGCGAUUCCGCGCCGUCCCUCCACAUGUUAGUAAGGGGCAUGACCUGCCGACUUGUGUGUGUGUAUGUGUGUGUGUUGUGUGUGUGUGUAUGUGUGUAUGUGUGCGAGAGAGAGAGAGUGAGAGAGAGAGAGAUGGGCCCGGGGGCUUUCCAACUCAAAGAUGCGCGCCUAAUUAGGCACAUCCACCGAAAGAGCUCGCUGAACUUAAAGAUCUCAAUCGGUCGGCUGUGAGCCGCCCCGCCAGUUGGCUGCACCACAAACGAAUGUACGGAAGGCCACGACAAGGACCCAAUACCGAUCAAGGAGUUACAGUAUCAAGGCCACAUUUACAGCACACGACCACCACAAACAACGUCAAGGGAUUGUAGAUGAUAUGCGCGUUGUAACGCGGCAAAUGUAUGAAGAAUAAAGUUAUCUUCAUCAUUAACGAAGCCCCCUCCCACGAAAAAACUCAUCCAUCCUGUGGCGCUCAAGAGCGGUUUGGGUCAAUCGAUGCAGCUGUUACGCCUCCCGAGUGAUUGGCUGCUCUGCUUGAAUCCGGAGAUUCAACGGACCCGCCCUCCUCCCUCAUCCAGUAAUUUUUUUUCAUUUGGGGGGGUCUCAACUUAUUCCGACCUAAGUAACAAAGUUGCUAGGGUCGCCGUAAUGUAUUCCGUAAGUGUGGGGCUUAUCUUGCUGUUUAAGUGUUUGUUCGGCGUUCAAGUCGUUGCCUUUUGCGUGUUUGGCUAUGUAAGGACCGGUCAUACAUUCUGCUAUGCCGCGUUGACUCACGGGCUUGACCUUCUUACGGCCCCUCAUAUCUAUUCUAUGAUCGAUAAUAAUAAGUUCUGCACACUACGGAGCAAUCUGGCAGCAAUGGACGUUUUUGGCUGGAAUGAAAAUGUACGGAUCGGCCUCAAUUCAUUCCCUUUUUCCAAAGGCCAAAAUGGCCUCUUUAUUCCUCUUAUGAGGAAUAUAUUACUUAAACACUGGGGUCCUGGUGAAGCAGCUGACCGCGUACUAAAGUAUAUAGAUGCGGAAGGUGGGUGGGGUGGGGUGGGGUGCAGGCAUGAGCUUGGUAGUGCCGUUGAGGAUUCAUGGAUUUGCCGAUGUACACCCUUCCGGUUGGUGCGCACGUGAUGGUGUAGAGUCACGUGCAGGGGGGGCCCAUACAAAUCGGGCGCGGCCGGGCUGGCGGCCAGACGUUUCAUUGGCGUCGUAGGAAGGAGGGCGUCCGAUGCUCGCGCUUGCGCUGCGGUGGUUAGCACCGAGUGUGCGAAGUGGUUAGCACUGUGUGCGAAGUCUUGGUCCACGGCCAGGACGGUGGUGGCGUCCAUGCCGUAGUCAUAUAUGAGGGUGAUGGCCGUAUCGGCAUUGCGUGGCAUUGCGUGGGCAUCGAGCGGCACGACAGCACAGCGGCUAAUGUCGCUGCGUGCAUACAGCGGCACUGGCAGUUGGCCUGCGUAGCAGCACAUAAGCAGCGGUGCCCCGUUACCAAGAUGACGAGCAUUGACUUGGACGAAGGUGUCGGCAGUGCCUUAAGAACAGCCCAAACAGUGCCUUAAGAACAGCCCAAACCGUAUUGCCACCAACUGCAGAGAAGCCUGAGACACUGUAUAUGGACACGGUUGGCAGUUGUAAUGCACAUCAUGAGCGCACCUUCCGCAGUCACCAGGAUAGGAUGUGGCGUCAUGUAAGAGUACAUAGUCGCUGAAUUGAGGCGGACUGAUGUGGGCUCGUACCAGAUGAGAGGUCCUACGCCACUACCGCGGCCAUAACUAUACCUAUGCGACCCCUUGGUUAACGCCUUACCAUGUAAACGCAGACCGACACCCGUCGCCCAGAAGUGCGCCGCGUCUUCAUCUGCUGGCGCACAUGCAUGCUUAGUUAAGCAGCCCCUAACCCUAAACAUAAGAACAGAUAAGUCGUUCAGAGCCGUGUAAGUAACAUGGACGCCGCUGAUGGCUUGGAACAGCUUUUUGCUGUGCAUACGGCCGUGCCUGCGUUAGCCGUGUUGCAGCAGCUCCGGAUGGACUUCAGCCAGCAGCAGGCUCAUAAGCUGCUGGACAACCACCGGGAAUUUCUUCAGUUGGGCACGUGUAGUUUUGGUCGGUCGGCGGGUCGAGCAUCGUACGCAUUGCGCACAGAAACCGAGGUGCAGCGUCUCUGUAACAUCGCCAACAUAUCCGGUACGCGGUGGCAGGCUUGCCGAGCACGAAAUGAAGCUUAUGAGCCUGCUGCUGGCUGAAGUCCAUCCGGAGCUGCUGCAACACGGCUAACGCAGGCACGGCCGUAUGCACAGCAUUCCAAGCCAUCAGCGGCGUCCAUGUUACUUACACGGCUCUGAACGACUUAUCUGUUCUUUUGUUUAAUUUUGUGUAUGUUUUGUUUAAUUUUGUGAUAUGUUAUAUAGGCGUUGCGCUAUCAAAAGCAGGCGCCUUUCCAUUUCGAAAAGUGCCGCUUCACCAGACGCUUCCUCUUCUCGCGGCCAUUUCUUGAGCCCAGUCUUGCAAGCAAAGUUGUAUGCUUUCAGUUACGUCAAAACAGCCACCCAUUCCUCCGGCCUGCUUGCCGCGUGCGACUGUGGCCAACAUGCCCUCCCGCGCAACGCGCUGGCACACCGCGGCCUUUCGCCAAACAAAUUACAUACACUUGUACGCGCGCAUUUUGAGAAUCGCACGCGCGCAUCCGCGCGGUAAAUUCGCUCCUGGCUUUUGGGGCGUCUUGUACGAACGGUUUCAAUUGUGCGAGGGGCUGAUUAAAAAAAACACUGCCCUCAUCCCUAGCGCCCAGGAGCCAUGUCUCCACAAUGCCAGAGGCCCGCGCGCGGGGCACCUCUUGGCUGAAUGGGGCCCUUACUUGGGGGGCAGGGGCCUAAUGCCGGACGAUGAGACAAUUGGCCCGCGGCUGGCUGCUUCCCCUUGCAGGGACCCCUCAUGCUCCCUGGCCCUGAUAAUUACAGACAGUGCCUGGUCUGGUCUGGGUUGACACUACUGCAAUUAGCGGUUUAAGGACCGGGAUUCGAUUCCCGGGGAGACCCCCGAAUUAGUCGGGAGCGCGAGAUUAUGGCUAGCUGCUGAGAUGUCGAGUUGAGCUCACAGGUUAUGGACCAGAUUCGCACGCUGGAUUGUUGGCGAUUGCCGAACCCUCCGUCUCUUCAGAUGUUCGGGUGAAUGGAUGAGGAGGGAUCCCUGAAGGCUGGAUCCACCCCCUUGGACUUACAGUUCGUAUGGCGUAGUACAGUGCGGUAGUGGUGGAUGGUGCUAUAGGGUGAUAAAUCGUGGAAUUGACAAUGUGAUAAAGUGGCCCAGAAGCCUCCCACUCUGUAACAUAACAUAACACUACAGCCAGUGCCUGGGUUCUGCCUGGGAGGGGGAGUAAUGCCUUCAGGAGCCGCUGCUUUGCCAACAUGAGCAACUUUUGGUUAAUGGUUGAGGGGGGUUCUAUACACCGUAGGGGGAAGUUGAGUCGCGGGGAAGCGACGUUGGGUGCCUAGGUUUAGCUGCUUGUUCGGUUAUGGUUUUCCGUUAGGCCCAUAUGUGUGGUGCUGUGCUGGUGUGUGGUCGCAUCCGCUUUCGCAUGGUCUCCAUGGCAUCCACUUAAUGCUUCAUUGAGCUGCUGUUGUGGUGGUGGGUGUGACAGAGAUCUAAAGAUGGUGUGAUCAGGGCCCAAGCAAAGUCCCGGAAAGACUUCCCGCAAGAGGCUUUGCCCGCUAGACAGUCCGGUAGGUUGACAGCGCGCCUUCGACAGAGGUCUCCUCCUGACGACGUCCUGGCGACGCCCGCUCUCACUCACUCACUCGCAACCGAAACCGCUGUCCUUGGAACCCGAGUGGACAAUCCACAUCAACACAGACAGCAAUACUCUCUAGUUUAGUAGUACCUUGUUUGUGUCGUUAGAAUCCCCAACCAUGCUGCGGCUUGCUGUGGCCGCGGCCGCGGCGGCGGCUGGCGCGCUGCUCAAACCUACGAAAACUCGGGGCCCCCCGCCUGUUUCGUCCGGGUACAUCCCUACCAAUUGUUGGGCAGGAGACCAACAGGGCCCCCGCGAUACCGAGGGUCAUCUCCUCCCCUUUGACCCCCCCCGCAUACACACACACACACAUACAUACAUACAUACAUACAUACAUACAUACAUACAUACAUACAUACCACAGCUGGGUAUAUGGAGUAAAUACCCAGCUGCUGUGCUACGUCUGGAAAAACACCCAAUACCCUCCCACCCUCCCGCAUCCAUCUUGUUUUCAUCCCCUACAUCCCCCAAACACACACACACACACACAC